GUGAACUUUGUUUACCGGACUUAGCGGGUGUCUGCGGACAUCUUCACAAUCCAGAAGGAAGACCGCGUACAUUAAUUGUUACAGAGUUUGAACUCGACAUCGAUGGUCGUCGAGGUCGAGAUUACGAGAAGCUCAAAAGAGAUUUUAUUGAACAGGAACAAGGCUUUUGGAUGAACCCCUUAUAUUUACAAUGUCAAUACAUCACAGCAACCCCAACUCCACAACUCUAAAAAUUCCUUUCUAUUUGAUCUCAAAUCAAACCAAACUAAACCUAACGAUUAUCCAAAUUUCAACAGUAACAUCAAACCGUUGGCCGCUAAAUGAAAAAUUAUCUUUUUUUCCCUACGAGUAGUUGUCUACUAAUAUUUCGAGGUGUGCUUGAUUGAGCUUUCCUGAGAGUAAUUUAAUAAACAUUUGAUAGGUAAAAAUUACAGCUGAUCAAACCCAAAUCCUUUUCGUCAACUUCAUCUGUUUUUCUGUUAAGUAGAGAUAAUAAACUUAAAAUUCAUCCCACAACCUAAAAAAUGGAAAGAAAAAAAAGGAGGUGGAUUUAAAAAAUCCUUCCUAUGCCCCCUAUAUUUAACAGAAAAAUAAAUUGAGUUAACUGAUAUAAUUGAAGUACCAUAUGAGAUUGAGAACCACAAUAAGAGAAAAAGAAAAACUAUUCUAGAAUGAAGGUAAAAUUCAUGACAACAAUGCCGGAUAUCUCAAAAAUAGUUCAAGCAGAUUAAGAUGUUAGCACAAAGUCGUUUAUCUCGUUUAUUGAACAAACAACGAGGACAACAAUGUCGUUUUCUCUCUUUCGAAAUUCAUAAACAACAAAAUUGAAAAUUCUUUCACAAAAAUUACCAUAAAUUUUGACAGAAUUGGCGGUUAAAUUAUAAGUCUAACAGGCAAAUCGAAAACAAUCACAAGAUCUUAGGACAUACAUACCACAUCAACAUUUAGCAAGCAGUCCAUAAGAAAUUGCAAUCAAGAUAAAACCUUUCAACAGUUUAUUAAAUUUCUCCUUUCAUAUAAGAGCAUGGUUCGGAGGAUUAGAGUGCGUUUCAGCAACCAUCUAUAUAACAUAUAGUAUCGAGCUCCAAUUGCCACUGCUCCAACCACGGCAAAAGCUACGAGAACAGCGAUUUCGUCCAAUGAAAAUCUCCUCAAAAGCAGUGGGCAAGACCAAAGACAUAGGAAUGACGUUGCUACAACUGCAAUCAAUAAUACAAUCCUCCAAAUCUUUCUUAUCACAGUAGGCUUAUCAAGCAAUAUCGGCACAUCAUCAGGAAUGACGUUGCUACAACUGCAAUCAAUAAUACAUAAUAUUCAAACUCCUUCAUCGAUCCCAAUACGAUAAAUUUAAAAUUGUUAUGAUCCGGAUAUUACCUAUAUUUUCUUAUGAUUCCAUAUGAAUCUGGGAUGUAGAUCGUGAGUGUUCCAGCAUAAUUGUGGCCUCCAAUAUGAUAGCAAGCAGUAACAAAUACCUGAUUCGUCAAUCCUUCAGCCUCCUUUUUGAACUGAUCAAUGAGAAUACGUGCCGAAACACGAUGGCCUUCAUGUCGACCAUUAGUUGCACAUACAAAUACAUGGGAGCCACUCAACAGCUCUUGCACUCCGGAAGCCCAUGGUUUGUGAUUCACAAGGACAUCUUCAACAAAGAUGUCCACAUCCGACUCUUUCAAGCCCCUUUGAUCAACAAACAAAAACAACCUCAGAAUCACAAAAAGGGAAUUAGUCGUAAACUAAGCCGUUAAAUUCAAUUUAUAGAACUAAUUUCAGAAGCUAAAACAUAUCUAAUUAACUAUUUAAUUCAGUACAUUCAGCACAAUCUCGUAAUCAAAAGAGAAUUUAAAACAGAAAUUACUUCAGUCUAAACUAGGAAUGGGCCUUCGAUUAUGAAUUAAUUACGGUUUGCCAUUGGGUGUCUUGGUGUGGGCCGUGCUUAACAGUUGGGUUGGGCUGCUGCAUUUAGGCCCAGGGUGUAGUUCUCACGCGUUUUUCUUUAAAAUUUUCUUUAUUUCUUUAUUUCUUUAUUUCUCAUCCUUUAAACUUUGUAUUUUCUUUAAAAUAUUUUUCUUUUUGGUGAUGCAGCAGAUAGAUGAACAUGUUCAAAGGGAAAUCAUGAACCACAGAUCACUGCAUCCGAAUAUCGUUUGAUUCAAAGAGGUCAGUGAUCAUAAACUAUUUUCAUUUUGUAUUUUAAGAAUGAAUUUGGCAAGUUCUGUUUGAAUUUUGUGUAAGUAUCUGCUGAGGGUGGGUGGAUGAAGACAGAACACACUACAUUUGGCCUCUGGUGUGCUUAAACUGGUACGGGGGAUGGCUAGACUUUGAGCCUGGGAUGCAGUAGGACUAAGAGAAAUGCCCUACCCACCGGGGCAAUCCACCACUUGCAGAAUUGUUGUCAAAAUAACUCUGCUAAAAAUAUGAGCUAUACUUCCUGCACUUCGUUUUUAAUGUGAAGUGGAAAUAGUCUUUAGAGUGGCUUAUAUGAGAUAAUUGAUAGAGGUUUGUGUUUAAGACUUGAGAGUAGCGCGGUGUCUUUCUUGCUGGUUCUGCUCACACCACCUCAUCUAGCCAUUGUGAUGGAGUACACGGUUUGGUGAGAACUCUUCGAGAGAAUAUGCAGUGUUGGCAGAUUUAGCGAGGAUGAGAUAAAGUAGUUUCAAAUGCAGAGAAAAUUUCGUUGGAAGUGAUUUUAGUGUAGAGUCUCAAAUAUGGGAUCUCUGAAUGUCCCCUGAAAUGGAAUCCAUCUCGAUUUUCGUUUAGUUUCAUAUGGGAAAAGUUAGGUCUGAAGCAUUUUUACAGUCAGUCAUGACUCAUAAUAUAACUAAAACUUACUUUUUCGAUUUAAUUGUUGUUUUGCAUCAGGCAAGGUUUUUCUUCCAGCAGUUGAUAACAGGAGUUAGUUGUCAUUUGAUGGUCUGUAAUUUGGCACUUGUAGCAAGGAAAUAAUUCGUUUCAAUAGUAUACGACUUAGUUUUAAUAGUAUAUGACUCAGUUUUUGAAUAGCACUUGGAUGGUUUUCGAAUAACGGUAUUACGACUUAGUUUUCUCAAUGCUUAGUUUUCUAAAUGCCAAUAACAGCUCUAGAUUUUGUCUUAGUUUUCUAAAUGCCAAUAACAGCUAUAAAUUUUGUCUCAAGUGGAGUAUUCUUACUAAUGUAGCAUUUUGUUGACACAUCAGUAUGUUUUUUUUUAUUGUUUCUCUGCUUGAACAGAGAAUUGUUAGCGUCCGGGUGGGAACGUGGGUCGACUCAUUUUUUUAGUCUCUCCGUCGUAAGCAGUUUUAGAUGGCAUUCUUCAAUGUAGCUAUAGGUAAGACAACACUCUCAGUAUUCCAUAAUCAAACCACCUUGUGAUUUUUUUUAUCCACCAAGUUAAGCUUUUAUGUGCCAUCUUGAAUAGUUAUAAGUUAUUGCUCCAGAUUACUCCAGUGCGACAUUGUUGUUCUCUUCCUUACCUCUUAAGCUUGCUUAAUAUACUUAAUUCUUAUUACUGUUGUAAAAGGUCGUACCCAAUGCACAAGGCUCCCGCUUUACGUAGGGUCUGGGAGAGGUAAAUGUCGGCUAGCCUUACCCCCAUUUAUGGAGAGGCUGCUCCCGAUCUUAUUACUGUUGUAUUGUUAAGAAAUACUCAAUUGCGGUUUCAGUUCAUCGUUAUGAAUCGGAUUAAAAUUAACCACUCAUUGGUUAAUUAUCUAAAUCCUAUAAAUUCGGAUUAAUAUUAAAGCAACUACAAAACAAAAAGCUCAAGAAAUCAAUGCGAAUUUACCUGUAUUUGAUCAUUUGUGGGAAAAUCAACACAUCGCCGUCCGAAAACUCAGUUCCUUCGUGUCCUUCAAUUACUGUCAGCAACGUCUAUCAAAAACCAAGAAAAAAGUGAGUAAUGAAGUCAACUCAUCUGAAAACCAGAACUCAAUAGCUCCAGGAAAUAAGAAGCACUGAGAAAAAGCAAUCAGAAAUGGUGAUGAAUUGAGCUGGAAAAUGAACCUUAACGAUGAUGUCGUUCUUGCGAGCUUCGAGAGCAGAUGCGAAGAACUUAGGGAGAGGAUCGGACUCAGAGCCUUCGAUGCGCCAUGGCCAGGCCUCGGGGGUCUUGUAGCAGAGGAAAAUAUGUUGUGUAUCGUCAAGAGUGUCUACACAAGACUCAUAUGGCAUAGUCACAUAGUUGUCCCAAUUAGUACCACCAUCAGACAAAUCCCAUUUUACAAUAUCCACUCCUAUUUUGUUCACCGUAAUUCUAUUAUCUUGUCCACAAAAUUGUGCUUGUACAAGAACCGUGUCGCCGCCUUUUAGAUUGAGCUUCUUGUUUGAAAGAUUUCCCAACCAAAGACGAUAUUCAGGGGAAGCAAUCACGGUGUCCUCCAGUGGUCGGUUGCGUCGGAUGCAUAGGAUGCGAUGGGAAGCAAUUACGGUGGCCUCCAUUGGUCGGAUGCGAAAAUAAGUUCGCUGGGUAGAAUUAAUAACAUGAAUUUGUAGAGAACCAGUAGAGUAGUAGAAGUCUGAAGAAUAAACGAUGCCCAAAGCCAACCCUCCUAUAUAAUCAAUACUUGGCGGCACUUCAAAUUUGACAGUUACAUCCUUUCUCGCGACAUAGGCUAACCGGUUAGGAAUAUCAUUUCCAGAGAGAAAAAUUCCACCAAAUGCAUUUUUCUACAACAUGGGGUGCAAAGUCAGUAUAAGCAACAAUAUAAAAAGCAGAGAGAGAGAGAGAGAGAGAGAGAGAGAGACAGAGAGACAGAGAGAACCAUACCGUUUGGAGGUUCUCCUUGAAAGUAGCAGUGAGACUGGUACACCCUUCCAUAUGAAGUGAAUCCAUGUAGUCCAAUGAGUUCUCCAAGUUUGGAAUAUCUUUGAGUUUGCGGCAGUCUUUCAGUUCCAAUACCCUCAUUUUCGACAUCUCUGAAAAGUCAGACAUUAUUUCCAGUGCAGUGCAGUAAUUCGCUUGCAGUACACACAAACUGUUUGGCAAAUCUGGGAUUGCCUUAAGGUUUGUGCAAUUAUUUAGACGUAAAACCUGAAGCUGAGAAAGGCCACUGAGAAUGGGUAGCCAAUUAAAACCAUUCCCACAUAGAACUAAAACUGUUAAAGAAGAUAGACUCCCAAUUGUUUUGAGAACGGCACCAUCUGUUAUAUUGCAGUCGCUGAGAUAUAAUUCCUCAAUCAUCUUCAGUUGUGCUAAAAAAUGGUAACCCCCACACAAACCCUUACAGCCAUUGAGGUCCAAUGCCUUGAGAUGUUGGAGUUUUGAAAAGUCUGGUAAUUCAGUCAAGUUAUGGCAGUCAUUAAGUAUGAGAUACUUCAACUCCUUAGGCAACUGUUACUCAAAAAGAGAAAACAACAAUAAAAAUCCAAAUAAAUAAAAGAGAGAAUGCAUGACGAUGACUGAUGUUGAUAUUUACAAGGACAUUGAUAAUUAUAUCGUACCAGCUUCGAAUCCUCCCAAACUCGUACCAUCUUGCUGUUGCUCAGGUUUAAACAAACUAGGUUUCGUUGAUCAAAAUUUGCUGGUAUGGCUUCAAGAGGAAAUCCAUCCCAAAUCAACAAUCUUAACUCCUUGGAAAGAUGUUUGUAGCUUCCAGUCAGCUUUACAUUUAUCAGGUGGAGAAAUUUCAGACGCCACAUCUUCUUAAACGCUUCUGUACGGAAGCUUUGCUUGUCAUCAGAAUCUCCUGUGUGUAGUCCUUCUACUGCUUCUGUUCCCUGUUAGAGAGAGAGAGAGAGAGAGCAAAAAAAAAUAAGAAAAGGAUAAUAUUCACAUGAAGCAGAGCCGUGAAUUGGAUGAGUGAACUACUAGAAAGGUAGGGCAUACAACAUAAUUAUGUAUUUUCUCUUUGGAAUUACAGUGGAUGAAAUCCUUUUCUUUUCUUUUUCUUUUUUCGUAAAAUAUAUUAUGUACGACAUACAUCAUAUAUAUGCGGAUAUCCGUAUGUACUUCUCUUUCUUUACAUGUACUUAACAUAAUAUCUUUUUAUUGUAAAAGUACUUACCGAUUCAUUAUUGAGCACGCUUUUUGCAUCUUUAAUAUUCCACAAUCGACUACGUUUUCCCUCCAUAGGAGAUUCUGCACGCACAAUUUCUCUUCCCAUAUCUCGAAUCAAAUCAUGCAUCUUCAAUGUUUUAUAUGUUUUAUUUUCAAUAUAUAAGAGACAUCGUUUGCAGAGUAUGGCAAUUUCUGCUUCUACAGAAAAAUGAUUACAACCAUCCAAUAUUGCCGUGACCACAUGUACAGGCAGUCCAAUAAAGAAAUUAGAUAUGUCAAGGAACACACCCUUCACAUGAUCAUCACAUAGUCCAUCGUAGCUUAAUUUAAGCGUUUCAUGAAUUUUUCCAUUUGGAAUAUUUCUCAAUUUAUCCAAUGUACCUUCCCAUAUGGUUUUACUCUCUUCCGUAGCCAACAAACGACCAACAACUUUAAGAGCUAGGGGCAAUCCUCCACAAUAAUCAACAAUAUCUCUUGCCAAUUCAAUAUAUUCGUUAUAUUUUUUAUCGAGAUAAUCAUUUCCAAAGGCAUGCCAACUAAAGAGCUCAAGAGCUUCUUUCUUUGUCAUUGCUUGUGCCUUAUAUUUUUUAUCCACCUUUUGUAUAUUCAGCACUUGCUCAUCUCUUGUUAUUAUAAUAAUUCUGCUCCCUGGACCAAACGAUUCAUGUUUUAUUGCCAAUUUAUCUAACUGGUCUGCAUCAUCUAUGUCAUCAACCACGACAAGUACCUUUAUCCUUCCAAGUCUUUUCAUGAUCUCUUUGGUCCCUUCGGCAACACUGCUUAUCUUAAUGUCAGGCUGUUUUAAAAUAUCUCGAAGAAGUUGUUCUUGCAGACACACCAUCUCUUUCUUUUUACUCCUCACAUCUUCAAGGUAACAUUGACGACUAAAACUCUGCUCAUAAUUGCUACAAACUGCUCUGGCAAGUGUUGUUUUACCUAUACCGCCCAUACCAUAAAUUCCAAUUAUUCGAACAUUAGGUGAACCUCCAACGUCUAAGUAUUCAGUACUGAAUUCUUGCACGCGAAAAGCCAUUCCAACUGAGUGCUUGUCUUCUUUAAAGUCUAUGGUUUUCAGCCGUCCCUUGACGUCCCCAACAAUUUUCUCGAUAAACACCCAUUCACACCUACGAGUAGAAAUUCCAAAUUACAAGAGCCAUACUAAAUGCCUUAUUCAUAAUGACUAGAUAUUUACAUGUUGAAACAGAUUUGAAUAAACUGGAUUAAUUGAGCUCAAUUCAACCACGUAUCUAAUCUUUAAUUAUAAUGUGAAUACAUUAGAUCACUGGUGAUUGGACUAUUAUGCAAUUGUAGCUUUCAGUAAUAUAAUUAAGAAUCCAUUAGAAUUGGUAUUUUAAUUUGAUAAAAUGUGGAGCAUUUGUCCUUCACACACCCAUAAAAAACAAAGCAUGUACCUUGCGUUUCACUUCCUUAAUGUCGACGAAAAUUCUUAUGCAAAUGCUCUACCUUUUAUAUAAUUCAAGAUCCUUGGUAUUAAUAAUAUCAUUAAUUAUUUUCAAUAAUAAAAUAUUUUUUAUUUUUAAAUAUAUUCAUUUAACGUUAAAAAUGUUACAAUUAGUAUAUUUAUAUUUAUGGCUAAAUUUUUUAUCAUAUAUUUUUAUUUUUAGUUUGUACCUUUUUUUAAUUUGCAACCGUUUUUUAAUUUGUAUCAAUUUUCUUUUCAGUUUUAAUUUGUACCCAUAUAUUAAUUUCUUUUUGUAUCCAUAUUUUAUAAAGUUUUAUUUGUAUUUGUACCCAUAUUUUUUUUAUUUAUUUCUACCCAUUUUUAAUUUUGCUAAAUGUACCCAUGCUAAUUAUAUGCACCAUUCAUGUAUAAUUUUUUUCAAAUUUUUAAUCUUAAAAUGUACUCAUUCUUAAAUAUACCAAUUCGUUAUAUGUAAAAUGUACCAUUUUUUAAUAUAAAAUCUAUUCAAUUUUUUUCUAAUUCAUUUUUAAACUUAUAUGGGUACAUUCUUUUUUCUUUGAUUUGAGAAUGUAUCCAUGUUGAGUUUAAUUGAAGAAAUUUACUAAUUUUAUUAAGCUUAAUAUCUUUUUUUUUGGUGAUUUUGAAGAAUGUACCCAUGUUUAUAUAUAUAUAUACACACACACACAUACACACACAAUAGUAUAUUUAUAUUUUAAUAUUUUUAAUCCCACAAAUUAUGGUUUUUUAUUUAAAAUCUCAUUAAUAUAAACAACUAUAAAUUUCAAUUUUUAAUUUAAAAAAAUAUAGCAACGUCAUAAAAAUAAAUUACCACAUUAAUUUCAGGGUCUUAGAUAAAAAAUUGAAAACCAACAAAAUUUUAGUCAAAGAAUAUUCAUAGGUAGGGACCGCAUCCAAAGUCUCUUUGUACGAAUUGUAAUAAAUUUUUAUGUAGGGGCCAAAAUUACAGUUCUAUCAUAGAUCAAAGAUCAACAAUCCAAUUUUUCUCAUCACAUGUAAAAUCAGAUUCAAUGCCUUAAUUAUAAUAUCUUAAUUUUGGUUGAUUAGUGAAAUACGAUGAUACGAAAAUUGAAGUAGACAAAAAAAAAAAAAUACCCGUCGGCCGUGGUUUUGAGAUUCCAGCCGCUCAAAUCUGCAGAAGCCUUAAGAUCCUCUCUCCACUGCUUGACCUCGUUUGGAUCUUGAUCGCUUUCAUGCUUCCGAAAUGCUUCCUCAAAACUACCACCCUGUCUCCUGACUUCAGAAGGGUCAACGUCGUAGAAUAUUGGACACACUGUCUUCCCCUCUUGAUCUUCUCGGCACCUCAUGAUCUUCGACAGCUCCCUCAGGCACCAUCGGGACUCCGCGUACCUCUUCGAGAAGACGAUGACAGCGAUUCUUGACCCUUCGAUUUCUUGGUCUAGUUCUCUCUGUAUGUUUUCCCCCCUUGUGAGCUGGUCGUCCAUAAACGUGUUAACUCCGGCUUUGCAUAACGCACUGAAGAGGUGGCCUGUAAAGGUUUUGCGGGUGUCUUCACCUCUAAAGCUCAGGAACACUUCGUACUUCCAGCGGUUUGAGCUCCGCGAGGAAGACGAAGAGGCGGCAGCGGCGGCUCCAUGGGCGGAGCUGCUGGUAUCCAUUGCAGCCUGUAGAAGUGCAGUUUGGCUUUCAAAUAACCAAAGUCAAGUAUUUCCCCAGAUUCCCAGUCUCGGUGGCCCUUAUAAAUUUGUCACUGCCGUCCAUAACGCGUGAGUGUUUUCCCCCCACAGUUUAAUUUGUAUAAAUGUUACCAUCAAAUUUAAAAAAAUAAAUAAAAAAAUGUCUAACUUCUUUACGAUGCAAUUUCCUUUUGUAGUUUUCUGAGAAAUCUGCCGCCCAACUUUGGCCAGUUAACGACCUUGUUGUAUUUUAACUUUAAGGGUGGUGCGCAGGCCGGUGGACGUAAGAACGUAAGAAUCAAUGGGAAGAGACCUCAUCUCAUUAUUCUGAAUCUGAUUGCCGUUUUCUUGGCGCUUCUCCUCAAUUUUCUUACUUUCUCCUCCAUUUGGAAGCUUCUGGUCAUUAAUUUUUUUCAGCUUCAUCCGAAGAUGCUCCCAUUUGGCCCCUGUAAGGAAUGAAAUUGAAUUUCGUGUUCAGCCAUUUAAAGAUUCAACUCUAUGUUUCAUCAAUACCAAUCAAGUAAGGACAGGUAUGAUCAAGCUUAAUAAACAAUUUGACAACAGUGCCCACUUGACCCUGUCCCUCCCUUCCCCAAAACCACCUCUGGUUUGGUUUAUCUAUAAAAAAAGAGUUGUUUGAUUUGGUUCAUACGAGUUGUUUGAUUUGGUUCCUCAAUGUUAAUGUAACUCCUUAUCAAUAAUCUAUCAUACAACACUAGUCCAAAACGACCAACAAGGAAAAUUUCAGAGUAAACAAGGAAAAUUUCAAGGUGUCAAUCAACUCGACAACUAGUCCAAAACAGACUAAAUUAGCUCAAUUCGAGACUUCUUAAAUUGAAAUGGGAAAAUCAUAAACUCAUCAAUAAACAUGUGUGGCUGUGAGUUUCCAACGCCACACUUAGCUGCUAAGUGUUCUAAGAGUUCACCAUCAGAUGGAUCGAACUUCACACCAAGUGGUAAGCCAGGCCAUUCCGAUAAAACCUACACAAGUGGAGUUGCAGAAGUACUUAAAUGAAUAAAAAGCUUAACCUAUAAGCUGAAAGUUUUGGACAACAUAUAAUCAUUUGCAUAUGAAUAGAACUAAAAACCCAGCUUACAUCACUGUUGUCUAUAACAAAAUGGCAAUUCGGGCAUUCACGAUUUGCCCCACAGUCUUUGAUUGGACACGCAGACGAUUGAGAAGCAUUCUUCACUUUGUUUGCAAGUCCUCUGCUGUUAAUCAGCCAAGCCCUACAGAAACAUUACACCAUAAGCCACAAAAUUUCAUCACAGAAGCAAUUUUAUCUAGAAUCUAAAGAAGCUAUGACCAACAGAAAAAACAACCGAACCCAAAUUAUCAUCCAUUUCACAUUCCCAGUACAAUUGAAGAGGGCGAAAACUGAAAUGGGUUUCUCAGGAAAAACACACAAAUUCACAAGAGAAUUAACAAAAACGCUGAAUCAAAUAUCAAUCAAGCAUCCGUAUAGUCAUAUUUAACUACAGAAAGUAAAAUUAAAUAUCAAUCAAGCAUCCGUAAUGAAUCAAAUAUCAUUACACAUUACAGAGCUAGAUUGAAUAUUCCUGUUUAAUGGGUUCCCCCCAAAAUUAAAAUUUAAAUACAAAUCUAGCAUCUGAACACUUCAAAAAGCAAACAACUUUCGAAACAGUAUUUUCAUCCGAAUAAAACCCAGAGACCAAAAACUAAACAAGAAUAAAUUAUAUGGGUUGACGAAGCUGGGAAAAUCUGUAUAGAGGUUUCUCAGCUCCCAAUCAAAAGAAAGUUUCCAGAAUUUCGUUUAUUAUUUUUUAAUAAUUGCUAUAUUAAAUAAUUAUAUUGUCCGCCCAUAUUUUCAAAUUGAGUAAAUUGUAGCUAUGGUCCCUGAACUUUACUCAAAUUGGAGCAAUGGUCCUUCAACUAAAAAUCCAUUACCAUUGGUCCUUCAACUCAUUAAAACGUGCAGCUAUGGUCCCUCAACUAAAAAUCCAUUACCUUGGUCCCUUAAUUUUAAUUCAACUGGAGAAAUGGUCCCUUAACUUUAUCCCAAUUGUAGCUAUGGUCCUUCAAACAUAACUCGGUUUGACAAAUUUUUUUAAGUAGUUGACGAAAAUGACCAUAAUUACACACUUUGAUGAGUUGAGGGACCCUAAUUAAAUAAAUGGUUAUUCCAACAUAACAUAUUUUGACAAAAUUUUGAAGAAAUUAAUGAAAAGGACUAUAGCUACAUAUUUUGAUAAGUUGAGGGACCAAUGGUAAUGGAUUUUUAGUUGAGGGACUAUUACUCCAAUUUGAGUAAAGUUCAGGGAUCAUUGCUACAAUUUACUCUUUCAAAUUUUCAUCACUGACGAGUGAAAGGGCUCUCACCUUGCCAUUUCUUCGAGGUCGGAGACGAUGUUUCAACCAAGCGCAUUCCGAUUUAUAGAUAGAGAGAGAGAGAGAGAGAGAGAGAGGGAGGGAGGGAGAGGGGUCCCUUUCUGCACUGGAUUAAGUUAAGAGCAACUCCACCCAUAGAGCCCUCCCCCUGGCAAUCCACUAUUCAAUCCACCCUAUUGAACAGUAACUGCCUUAAAUGAAUAGUAAUUACCAUUAAUGAACAGUAAUUGCCAUUUACAUCUCCACCCUUGGAACCCUCUCCCCUGGCAAUAAGCAAUAAAAAUAAUAGUUUUUUAUGUUUGUUUAAAUAAUAAAAAAUUACAAAAGCUAUAUAUAUCUCUCUCUCUCUCACACAAAAAAAAUACAAAAAUACAAAACCCUCGGGCCACAGGCCCGUCGACUCCCCACCCCCCUUUCACUCGACCUCCCACCCUCACUCGGGCCCUUCCUCGCUGGAUUUGCUCCCACCGGCCCGAGGGCCCUUUCUCCUCGCCUGACGCCCGAGCAACCAGCAAGGCUGGAGUUGCUCUAAAGUAGCUAGAGACAGAGUGCGUGUGUGUGAGCGGGAAAAUCCAGCUUCGGACCCAACGAGCCGUUACCUACAAGCCUCAGGUUCGGGUACAGAGUCUUUGGUCGAUAAGAAGGCGGACCCACCGCCAUAGGCUGUCUCAGUGGGGUCUGGGGUUGACGAAACCUAAGUCCGAGGCUGAGGUUCGGAGAGAACGAAGGUGUCCUGUCGUGCUUUUGGUGGGGGUUCGAACACCGAGUAAAGUGUAAUUAUGGUAUUUUUUCUGUCGGACUUGCUGACUGACUACCGUGCUCCCCAAGCUACAUACAGAAACGUUUUGGAGACUUUUGUGGAUUCUCGAUUUUGCCCCUCGAUAUUGAUGUGACUCGACUGUUUGUCUUGGGCAGAAAGUAGGCUUGGUAAAUAUAAUAACAUAUAUAUAUAUAUAUAUAUUUAAUGAGAGACAUCAACUGUCGUUGUAGUAUAGUGGUAAGUAUUCCCGCCUGUCACGCGGGUGACCCGGGUUCGAUCCCCGGCAACGGCGAUUUUUUGAGCUUUUCUCCUUCCUUUUAUUUUUUAAUUUUUUAUUUUUACAUAACUUUUGGUUUGUAAACUUUGUGUACUGGAUUUAAAGGGUAUCUGCGGUCAUCUUCACAGUCCGGAAGGAAGACCACGUCCAUUAUUUGUAAGAGAGUUUGAACUCGACAUCGAUGGUUGAGAUCGAGAUUACGAAAUGCUCAGAAGAGAUUUUAUUGAACAGGAGCGAAGGCUUUUGGAUGAACCCCUUAAUUUUACAACGUCAAUACAUCACAGCAACCCAACUCCACAACUCUUAAAAAUUCCUUUCCAUUUGAUCUCAAUCAAACCAAACUAAACCUAACGACUAUCCGAAUUUCAACAGUAACAUCAGACCGUAGGCCGCUAAAUGAAAAAUUACUUUUUUUCCCUACAAGUAGUUGUCUACUAAUAUUUCGGGGGGUGCCUUAUUGAGCUUUCCUAAGAGAGUAAUUAGUAAACAUUUGGAAGGUAAAGAUUACAGCUUGCAGGAUCAAUAACACUGGCUAAAGCAGGAGAAAAAACCUUUAGGUUUGUCUUCCAUGUGCGUGUUGGAUUUAGGGGUUUCACCCGAGUCGUUGUGAGUAACCAUCAAAGAACUAGUACCAGGCGACUCUGGUGGGAGUACAGCGUUCUCAGAUUUGAAUAUCCGUUGAGGGAUAGCGGGUGCUGGUGCCGAAAUAGUAGAGAGGUAACGCAGCAGCAUCUGUAUAAUUUGGGUGAAGUUGGGCCGGUCAUUGGGAUCCUCUUUCCAACAUGAAGUUACAAUCAACGCCAAAUCCUUGGGGAGGCUAUCAGCACUCGGCCUCACAUUCUGAAACAAUUCGUAUAACCUCAUAUUACGAAGCUUAAAAAGUACCAAGUUAUGAAUAAGAUUAUUGUGGUAUUUUGUUACCUUAAAAGCAGCUGCAUACGCAGCUUGUAAAUUCGACAUGCCUUCGAAAGGCAGCUUGUUAUGGAUGAGUUCCCACAAUACAAUUGCAAAGCUGUAAGCGUCCACCUUAUGAUUGUAAUGCUUCUUUUCUCCAUGUCGUAAUGUAACUGUGCUGUAAAGCUGCCACCAAAUACAAAGGUGGAAGAUUAAUUUGCUGAUACCAAACAAAAAUUAAUUUGCUGAUAUCAAACACACUCACAAGACAUAUGAGAAACAAAUUCUCAACCUUUGAAUGACCGAGUUAAGUACCGUACCUCAGGAGCCAUCCACCGGUAUGUCCCAGUUUCGGCGGUCAUCAUCUCUGUCAAUGACUCUUCUCUUGCUAAGCCAAAGUCUGCAAGUUUGACUGUUUUUUGGUCGGCAGUCAAGAUCAGAUUCUCUGGGAAAAGGACAGGAUAAAAGUGUAAGAUUGUGGAACAAACCCUGUUUUCGGAAAUAAGCUUCGCCCUAACAAUAGUUGCAAUUCGUUUUGUGAUGCUGAAGUUAUCUCUGCUACGGAAGUCUUCAAUCAUGCUGAAUACUAAACUAUCAGCGACUAACACUAAAUAGCAAUCCUUCGGAUUUCCAUAUUUGAGACAUGCUUACACAUAGACUUCACUUUAAUCCUUCUCGGUUCUUCUAUGUAGGCGUUCCCUUCUUGACUCUCCUAACGUCGAGCUAAGUGACUUCGUUCAAAGGUCAACCCUUAUGUUAAACAAUGAACUAAACCACAUACCAGGUUUCAGGUCACAGUGAAUGAUACCGUGGGAGUGUAAGCACUCCAUAGCACGAGCAAUAUCAAGCGCAAACCCAACUGCCAUGCACGUGUCCAAGCACCUUGGCCGCAUACUGAACAAGUAUUUGCGCAAAGUUCCGCCUAGAAGAAGCUCAGUCACUAUGACCAUGACAGGUUCUUUGCAGGCACCAAUGAACUGGUAAUACAAAGUUAAAAAUCCCCCAUCAGAUAUCGCAAAUACGCCUAUUUAGUAAUCAAAAAUACUUAUCGAAAACUAGACAACAACCUUCACUAAGUUUUUGUGCUGCACUUUCGACAUCAUUGCCACUUCCCUCGCAAACCGCGCUUCUCUCUUGGCAAUCUCCUCGAUGAACAAUUUUUACAGCAACAUUUUGAUUCUUAUAUCUAGAACAAACAAAACACAACAAACAAACAGAUUGACAACACAACAGAACAGAACAUCAUCGUUGUAACUCGACAAGAAAAACACAUAUUCGGCAUCGUAAACACCAUAAAUGCCCAACACCAAAGCAAGUUUUGAUCUUUGAUUAGUUCUGCUAAAACCCAACUCAAUUUUGCAUUUAUGUUUAACAAUAUACAAGAGAUAAUAAUAAAUUGCUAAACUUGAGAGACCAGAAAUUCAGAAUCUAAGACAAAACAAACACAGAGGUUGUACUGAGGUUGACUUACUUUCCUUCGUACACUUUGGCAAGCGCGCCUUCCCCAAUCCUCGGACCAACAAAAAGAUGCUUUGGAUCGAUCAGCCACUUGGCGUCCAAAUCGAAAUCCGCAACUGAGUAAACCCCAUUACCAGAUCCCAUAAUUUUCCCUCUCUAAACUUCUAAAACAAGAACAACAUACACUGACUAAUUAACCAAACAAAGGGUACCCUUUAUUUGUAGGACUACAUUUGAAGUAAAGAUGGAAGCUUUGGUCUGGAUAAAAAUGGAAAAAAAAGUAAUAAAGUAAGGAGACUUUGUAUGAUUGAAGAGGGAGAAAGAUGAAGACUUUCUAUUUCUAUAAUAAAAGGACAUGCUUGGUACUGUAGGUUUCGGAAAACAGACCCAUCCCCAGGAUCACGGUUGAGGAUCCUACAAAUCUAGGAUGUGCCUUUUGUUUGGGGGGCAAAGAAUAAAAACCCAGAGGCACCCACCAACAACCCUACAAUAUAAAAAUGGCCACUGAUGAAAGCUCUAUCAGUGGGAGUGGAUUAGAUUUAUUAUUGGGAAUUGGGGAGAGAGAGGAAAUCGGAAGAAGAGCAAGCAGAUAGAGUUGAGCAAGGCAGAGGAGGAUGAAACUGAGAGGAUCUAGAUGGAGAUUUGGGAACUUGGUGGCGGCGACGGUGGCGGUGGGUGAGUGGGAAGUGAGUUCAGUUGAGAUUAAUUUAUUGGCCUUCUCCGCGUGUGGAAUAUUAGGGCCCGUUUGUUUGACAGGAUUAGGGAGGACUGGACUGGACUAGACUACAGUCCCUUGUUUGGUCUGCACCAGGAUUAGGUUUAAUGGGAUUAGGUCUGACUCGCUAGGAUUAAACCCCUCACUAGGAGUUCUAAGCGAAGCACCCCGAUCACCCUCGGACUUGUAAGACCUCCUGCGCUCCUGCGAGAGAGAACCUCGCUCAACCUCGAUCCUCAACGUGCUCCCUCCUUGCCCUGCUCCCUCAUCGUCGUCCUCCUCAUCGUCGUCCUCUUCAUCAUCAUCUCUGCGUCUUGCUCGCCCUCAACUCCAUCCUGCUCGCCCUCAUCUGGUAAACUUCGUAUCCGACAUUAUAUUUUUUUUUGCAGAUCGUGAUAUUACUGGGCUUUAUUUGAUUUAGGUGUUUUGAGUUUGAGAAAUUUUGAAUUAUAGACCUCUGCACUUGAACAAAUUAGGUUUUUGAUUUUUAGGGUCAAAUUGAGAUUAGAAUUUGGGGUUUUCACAUUUUAUGCCAUUUUGAGUACCAAAAUGAUGAUAAUCAUCACGAAAUUGCUGCUGUAAACUUCGAACGCCACUGUUACUUUUUGGGUAUGUUUCUGUCCUACUUUUACCCAGUUUGAAUAUGUAUUCAUAGUUGUCGGAUUAAAACGUAUAUGUGGUUUUUGGGAAGUGAUGAGUAAAAUGGCUAGAAUUUUAGGAAGCUUUGCGCUUCUGGUUUUCAUCGGAUAGAGGGAACACGAAGAGGGAGAGGAAAAGAGAAAAUAUUAAGUUUAAUUGUAAAUUUUAAAUUUGUUUUUUAUAGUGUUAGUGGAGGAACCCAUCUGUAGUAUUUUAAGAGAAGAUGAGAAGAUGUAAACUGCUGGACAUCCUUAGCAUUUCCCAUGUUCUUUAUUAAUUUGAGAGUGAUCCUGUGAAUAAUUUUGGCUUUUAGAUUUGUUUGAAUCUUUUUCUGAUUCAACUUGCAGGUUUAGUAUCAUUUUACAGCUUUCUACAACUCUUUGUUCUUUCUCUCUUCCUUUAUGGUUAGACAGCAUCGAAUAUCUAUCAGUAAUCAUGUCCAGACUGACUGCGUUCAUACAACUUGUGCUGUUUAACUAAUGAAUAUAAUUUCGGAACUAAUAUGCCAUGCCUAGAUGAUUGAAGUGAGUAUCUUAGAUGAAUCAUCCAUGAUUGAUGUGAGUAUCUUAGAUGAAUCUAUCCACCUUGGGAACUUGCAAGAGUUGAGUUCAAGAUGUCCGGAUGCUUUUUCGUAUAUAACCAAGGUCUAAAACACAGCCUUAACCUUAUUCUUAAAAGGAGGUUUGUUUUUUGUAUGUCACUAAGUUAACUGCAUAAAUCCAAAUAUCAAGACCAAAACAAAUCAUAGGGUUACAUGAUUUCUUCCAAAUUAAUGCCAACAUAUUGUUCAGCAACGGGGAGAUUCUGGGGCCUUGCUUGACCAGCCACAUUAGAUAAAUCUCAAUACAAUCUAUGCAUGCAUGCUUAGUUGUAACCAGAUUCUUACCAGGCCACUGAUGGCGUAAUUUCAUUUGAAGAUUACAAUAAAUGAUAUAAGAUUUAAGGAAUUCACAAAAGUCAUGUGAAAAUAAAAGGUGCUGGAUUUCCCUUUGAAGGAUAUGAAAUUACUUGAUGUUAGAAUUGAGGUUUUACAGUUAGUCAGAGGUUUACGAUCAGAUCUGUAUAAUGUGUUUUAGCAUCCUUUUGUUGUUUGGCAAGCAAUUCACGUGCGUAGUUUCCGGUGUUUGUUUCAUAUUUAGAAGCUUGUUUUGAGUUCGAUGUCUCUAUUUUUUUUGUCGAAGAGUUCGAUGUCUGUAUAUCAUGUAGAAAAGUGAUUCCUUUUUUCUUUUGGAUGUCUGACCUUGUAAACUUCCGAAUCUAUUUUUCCGUAUUCUUCUUAUUGUUCUUCUAUCCCUAUCUAAAGCUUUAUCCCCAAACUGUUUCUUCAUUUGGACAGACCUAUGUAACUGUUGGUAAUAGAUUUCUGAUUUGUCUUUAGAAUUGCAUCCUAAGUGGUGGUUACAAGUUACGACUUCCCUGAUUGACUUCGUAUGAACAAAGUCAUGCGGAGUUUAACGAUUUUUCGUAUUGUAUAAUGCUUCACGUGGAUGUAUUAGUAUACCGUCAUGCUUUGGUAUCAUUCUCUAGUGUCAUAUUCUAACUAAAAGUAAAUGAUGUGGCCAAUUGCAUACUAGACAUACCUCGGAAUUGCUGGAAUGACCUCCUUGCAGCUUACAGGGGAUGUGGAGGGAGAGUCCAUGUUAGAUACGUUGUUAGUGAUAUGCAUGCAGACUUCAUCCAGACUGAAUGUGACUGCUUAACCUUGGUUGCUUCCACCCUUCCACUUACACUUAGGUCAAUGUGAUUUCUCCCACUUACCAUCGAAUCGAAUUGAAAUUUUAAUGCUUUAUGCAUGGAUACUAGACAAAGGCAUAAACAGUGGCACUGAUGGAUUUGCUAUGCUCUUCACUUGAAAUUGGUGUGCGUGAUCUUCUAGCAAUAACUUAUGAACAAUUGGUAUUUGUGAAUAAUUUUUGAAUUGCAGAUGCUUGUCAUUUACUGAUAGAUAAUCAAAAGAAGGGUGACAUUUGAUAGUCUAUUUCCAAUUUGGAUGUCUAAUUAUCCAUCACGGAACUGUCAAGGGGCACUUGGCUGAUAACUUUCACAGUCCAAAGAUGGUCUGCGCUGAAAUGUCAGCUGCUUAGCCUCUCUCUCCAUCUGCUUCAUUAUGUUGUCCUCUUUGCCUGCAUGUUUAACGUACAAGCAGAGUACAAACAAGGGACUUUUAGAAAAGUUAACCCUUUCUUUAGCACAUUAAGGCCUUGUUUAAUUUGGUGGCAUAUUGGUUUGAUGUCCGUGUGUGUGUGUGUGUCUAUUCUGCACAUUUGUUUGAUGUCCGUGUGUGUGUGUAUUCUGCACAUUUGGUUAAACAGAGGUUUACGGUUAUCUACUUGGUUUAUAACCAUGAUAUUACAUUGUGAAUGUUUUGUACUGUGUGAUGUUGAUGCUGAAAUAUUAUGUGAUUGUUGGUUGCAGAGAAGAGGAGCAUAAACGGAAGGCUAAGGCUAAGGCUACUGGAUUUUGUAAAUUAUGGAGAUCUACUUUGGAAUGCUAUACUAUAGUUCACUGGCAUUUUGUAAAAUAUCCUGGAUGAAAGUUUAGUGAAUGAUGUUUUAAGAGUCAAUGCAAAGAUUGACUUGUCACAAGUAUCUUCUUAUGUACUUGUAUUUGUUGAAGUUGCAUGUAUUGGGCACUAUUCUUUUUCUUAUUUUGGGUGAUAGAGUUUAAAUCAAGUUACAUUUGCAAAUUAAACUCAACUAUUUAUAAAUAGUAUGUCCCAACUAUAGUAUGCCCCAAUUCUAUUAGCAGGUAAUAGAAACAAAACAAUUGUCCUCUUUUUUUAAGAUUCAUAAUAUACAUGGCAAAAAUAUGCUCCAAUUAACCCAUAUCAUGAGAUUUGUAGCAUUACUCUAUUACACAAUGGCAAAAAUUUGUAGUCCUACUCUAAGCAAACACAAAUCUGGUGAACAAUACUGUUUUUAUUAUCCUGCUUCUUAGUCCGACACUACACCAAACGCUUCACUAAGUUAGUCCAACUUAGUCUAGUCUAAGCCAGUCCAGCUUAGUCCCUGCAGCUAGUCCAGUCCGAGACAAUCCGGCGCAACAAACGCACCCUUACUGUCUUUUCUUCUGGAUCCAGAGAUAAACUUGUCUCUGUCAGAGAAUAGUGUGUUUCCUUUGUUUUUCUUCCUUUCUAAUUCAUUUUCCCUUAUUUAUACUAGCAACCGUAAAAAUUUAUAAGAAGAGAAAAUGUAAAAUGAUUUCUAUUUUUUUUUUAUGAUAUUCAAAUGAUUUUGCGUCGCUGAAUGAGACUGUUCAUAUAUUUGACUACUAGUUCUGAAUAAAUAUUUUUUUACUAAAAGUUUACAAGGUAACUGAUAUGGUUAUUUGGUUAUAAAACUUUCAGAAAAAAAAAAUAAAAGUAUUUUGUGUGUAAUUUACUAUAUUCUACGUAGCUUUUAAUUUAUUUAAGUUAAUUUGGUCAUCUCACUCUCUUUUAAUUGAUUAAGAGAAUUUCGUUGAUAGGUAGUUUAGAUUAUAAUAAAAUAAAAUAAUUACUAAAUAAAUAGUUUUUUUUUUAAUUAUAUGAUAUUAUGUACAUUAAGUGGUGGAGGGAAUAAGUACAAUGAGACAGUCAUAAUAAUUUGGUUCGAAUUCAUUUUGACGAGAAUCGAACUUAAGAUUUCUUAUUUAUGAGAUAUUUUUCAAUUUACUAGAAACACGUUGUAAUAAUACAAUUGGUCAGAAACACGUUGUAAUAAUAAUUUAUUAUGACACUUAAUGUAUCGAGUUAUGUUCAAUGUUCACAACACACUAAACAAAAUUUCCUCACUUACAAGUUAAAAAGGAAUACUAUUAAAUCAUAAUACUAAGUAACUAUUAAAUAACUAAUUUAUAUAUUUGAUUUGUAAAAGUUUAGGGGAAAGGAAAUCUAAUCCAUCAAGGUUAGGACAUAUCAUAAGUCUCCUUGAGAACUUACACAAGAAGUAUUAGUCUUUUUUUUUUGUUUUUACAUAUCGCGCAUCAAAAAUGGUUUGCAAUGGAACUCAAACAUAGACCUUACAACUCAACUAAUCCUUGUUGGAAAAUACACAUAUAUUUGAGCAAUCUUUUAAUUAAUUUAAACUAAAUUAUUGAGCCAAAACUCAAUGCAAUAAUAAGCACAUUGUUUUAAUCAAAUUAGCUAUAUAUACGAUAUAAAACGUCUAUUUAUAUCAUCGAUUCUAAGAUUUGAUAAAGAGAAUAUUUUCAAGAUGAGCAUAAACAUAGAACACGUACACACUGCUCUACGAAAUUAAUCAAGAACAAUUCCGCAAAAAAAUGGAAGAUAUGUGACUUUUAUUUAUUUCAUAGAUUCUAUGAAGGAUAAGAAAAUGUUGUCGGAGAAAAAGAAAGGUAAACGGGCGAUAAGAAGACGAAUACAACACAAUGAUACAAUUGGGGCUUCCAGAAAGUGCCCUUUUGAUAGCCACUAAGGCCAAAAACCCAUCACAAUAAUUGAAUUACCAUUGUCUUAUUAGAAAGUAAAACACAUUACUUUGGCGUUUUUUAAACUUGAAUGUGACAAAUAUGACAUAGACAAUAAGGAUGUGUGACUUAGAUAUCAGGUUGGAGGAAAAUGGACUGAAGUACAAAGGUUAAGGCAAAUAGAUAUGUGAGAGGUAUUGCACGAGUUCGAUGUCAAAUUAUUAUGACAUAUUUUAUCGCGAUUCUUAUAAGAGAUUUUUCAAUAUGCUGAAAACACAACUCGAUACAUCAAGUGUCAUCACACAAGUGAUUGGAUACUUGAAAAAAAUAAAAUUCAACCACUUGUAUGAUGAUACUUGAUGUACCACGUUGUAUUCUGGCACGCUGAAAAGUUGUCUGUCUCCUAGUUCAAAUCUACUGCUCUUUAUUUUAAAGGAAAAUUAAUGAAAAUUGCUUGAAAAAUUUGAGUUUUAACGAUAAGAACAAAAUAAAGGGUAAAGUUAAUAGUACUAGGAUUGACUUUUUAGUGUAAAAAUAUGAUUUUUCGUUAAAGUGAACAGUACCGGGAGCUUUUCGUUAAAGUUCCCUUAUUUUAAACACGUCUUUGGAUUCAUUAAAAGACAAAAAGACAUGCUAAUAUUUUGAUCCCAGUAUGCAAGAAUUAACCAUACCAUAUACUUAGAAAUACCAAGAAUCCCGCUGCAAAUCAACUGUAAGUCAAAUAUUACCAACGAAACAAAAGAAGGAAUUGCACAAUUCAUUUGGUGAUUAGGCGAACUAACAACAACAACAAAUAUAAAAAAUAACGAGUCAAUAAUUUAAACACUAAACUAAAUGAUCCUUACGAAGAUGUGGGUUGUUGAAGAGUUGGAUCAUCACUUUCCUUAACUAUAUCAAACAACAUACUCCAUAUGGCUCUUGCAAUCGUUGUUUUACCUAUACCGUCCAUACUUUAAAUUCCAAUUAUUUGAACAUCAGGUGAACCUCUAACAUCUAAGUAUUUAGUACUUAAUUCUUGCACGCGAAAAGCUAUUCCAACUGAGUGCUUGGCUUCUUUUAAGUUUGUGGUUUUCAGUAGUCUCCUAAUGUCUUCAACAAUUUUCUCGAUAAACAAUCAUUCAUGUCUCGCAGUUAAAAUUCAAAAUUAUACAAAAGUAAGAUUCAUCAUGCAACUGCAAGAUUUAUUUCAACUAAAUGCCUCAUUCAUCAUGAUUAGAUAUUUUGGUAGUGAAAAUGUUUUGAAUAAAUUAGAUUUGAUCGGGAUGAUUAGUUUAGUUCAAUUCAGCCGUGGUUCAGCCGUGUUUCCAAAAUGCAUUGUAACCAUAUUAGUUAAACUCAGUUAGAUUGCUCCUGAACUAUAAGAAGGUGUUUGUUUGCCCUCACUAAACCAUAUUAUAGCUUUUAGUCAUACAAAUAGAAAUCCAUUAGAAUUAGUAUAUGGGUUUGACAUACGAAGGAUUCGUCCUUCACGCAUUACCAAUGCUCAUCUCCUUAUUUUUGGUGGAUUAGUGAGUCUUAGAAGCUAAUACAAGACAUUGGAAUUAAAUUUAGAGGAAGAAUUAAAAUACCUGUCCGCCGUGGUUUUAAGAUUCCGGCCACACAAAUCUGCAGAAGCCUUAAGAUCCUUCUCCACUGCUCGACCUCAUCUGGAUCUUCAUCCCUUUCAUGCUAACAAAGUUAAAAGAAUAAGGUAAAGUGAGACACCUAAUAAAAGUUUAGGUGGUAAAGUGAACAAAUCAUCAUAUAGAGUAAAGUAGAAUUUUGUGUACAUAAGUGUCAUAGAAAUGCCUUUAGUAUUUUGUACAUAUAGAAAAUAAAUAGGGUUAAUUACAUCGAUGUUCCUUGAAUUUGUCAUUUAUCUUCAUUUUCGUUCUUAAACAUUUUAUUUGUUUUAUGUGAUCUUCAAACUCGCUAUCGCAUGACUUUUUUUAUAUAUCCUUUUCGUCGACUUCAUCUAUUUUUUUGUUAAGUAGAGAUGAUAAAUUUAAAAUUCAUCCCACAACCUGAAAAAUGGGAAAAUGGAGGUGGGUGUACAAAAUUCUUGCCAUGCCCUCUAUAUUUAACAGAAAAAUAAGUUUUUUUGGGUCAAAAAAUAGAUUUUGUUAGAUUAGCCACCGACAGAGUUUGAACUCACACUUUCGUACAAGAGUUUAACUUCUUUCCACCACUAUAGUAAAAGGCCACUUGCAACAAAAAAAUAAAUUGAGUUAACGGAUAUAAUUGAAUUACCACAUGAUAGAGUUUGAGAACCACAAUAAGAAAAAAAAAAAAAAAACUAUUCUAGAACGAAAGUAAAAUUCAUGACAACAAUGUUGUAUAUCUGAAAAAUAGUUCAAGCAGAUUAAGAUGUUAGCACAGAGUCAUUUAUCUAGUUUAUUGAACAAACAACGAGGACAUCAAUGCCGUUUUUUCUGUUUCGAAAUUCAUAAACAACAAAAUUGAGAUUUCUUUCACAAAAAUUACCAUAAAUUUUGACAAAAUUGACGGUUGAAUUAUAAAUCCAGCAGGCAAAUCGAAAACAAUCACAUGAGCUUAGAACACACCACAUCAACAUUUAGCAAGAAGUCUCAUAAGAGAUCCCAAUCAAGAUAAAAUCAUUCAACAGUUUAUUACAUUUCAUUCAUUUAAGAGCAUGGUUCGAAGGAUUAUUUAAUUGACGUUAUAACAUCUUUCUACAAAGAAAAAAUGAAAAUAAAUAUGGCGUUGACACUCGUGGCAAAACCCGACAUGGAUUUAAGUACGUUUCAACCUGACCUUCUGUAAAAGCUGUAGGCCACAGCCACUGUUGCCACUGCUCCAACCACGGCAGCAGCUGCGAGAACGUCGCUUUGCUCCCAGUUCCCUAUCAAACUUGAUAGCUUCUGUAAGCCAUCCUUCCUAGCACACGACUCUGUGGUUUCUUUCGGCUUUUUAUCCUCACUUCCACCGUCCUCCUCCAAACUUACUUCUUUGCAGUAUGUAAAUCCAUCACUAUUAGCACUCUGGCAAUAGCCUGAAAAGUUCUCAUUAUUCUCAAUUUGAUUGCCCUUUUCUUGGUGAAUCUGAUUGCCAUUUUCUUGUGGCUUAUCCUCGAUUUUCUUAUUUUCUUCUCCAUUUGGAAGCUCCCGGUCAUUAAUUUCUUCAGCUUCAUCAGAAGAUGCUCCCAUUUGGCCCCUGUAAGGAAUGAAAUUGAAUUUCGUGUUCAACUAUUUAAAGAUUCAACUCUAAGUUUCGUCAAUAGCAAUUGAGUAAGAAUAGGUAUGAUCAAGCUAAUAAACAAAUCACAACAACAAUACAAAUCAGAAACAUAUACAGGGUAAUGCAGUUAUAUCUAGUUCUUUUGUGCUUUCUCCACAAAAGUUCCUCCAUGUUAAUGCAACUCUAUAUCAAUUAAUCUAUCAUACAAGACAAGACAUAAUCAACAAUUGAAAAAUAUGACAACACUAGCUUUCGUCCAGUGAAAUUUUCAUCCAAAGACAGUAGGCAAAACCAAAAAUGUACAAACCUCCAACGUCGUUCUAUAAUCUCUCCCUUCCCAAUAUGCUCAUCAAGCAAUUCCGGCACAUAACCAGGACUGACGAAUGGAUACCUGCAAUUAAUAAUACAUAAUAUUCAAACUCCUUCAUCGAUCCCAAUACGAUAAAUUUUAAAUUGUUAUGAUCCGGAUAUUACCAAUGGUAUGUCAUGCUUCCAUCUGGGUCGGUCGUGAAUAUUCCAGCAUAGUUGUGGCCUUCAAGGUGAAAGCAAGCAGUAACAAAUACCUGAUUCGUCAAUCCUCGCAGCUCAAACUCUUCUUUCAACUUAUCAAUGCGAACACGUGCGCUAUCACGAUUCCAUUCCUCUUGACUCAUAUGUGUGUAUACAAAUAUAAGGGCAAAUACAUGGGGGCCAGUCAACGGCUCUUGCACUCUCGAAGCCCAUGGUCUAUCAUUCACAAGGACAUCAUCAACAAAGCUGUCCACAUCCGACUCUUUCAAGCCCCUUUGAUCAACAAACAAAAACAACCCCAGGAUCAUAAAAAGGGAUUUACAAGAAACAAUAACCUAACACUCUUUACUUUCUUGUAAGGCAAGGAAUUAGUGUAAGGCAAUGAAUUAGUCGUAAACUGAGUCAUUAAAUUCAAUUUCGAUCUAAUUUCAGAAGCUAACACGUAUUUAAUUAUCUAUUUAGUUUAGUACAUUCAGCACAAUCUCGUAAUCAAAAGAGAAGUCGAAACAGAAAUUACUUUAGUCUAAACUAGGAAAAUAAAUUGCACUGCUCAUGUUGGUUAUUGAAUGGGCCCUCGAUUAUGAAUUAAUUACGGUUUGCCAUUGUGUGUGUUAGUGUGGGCCGUGCUUAACAGCUGGGUUGGGCUACCGCAGUUGGGCCCAGGGUGCAGCUGUCACGAGUUUUGGGCUGGGUUUCACUGAAAGAUCAAAUGACUCUUUUGCCCCCUUCAUUUUUAAUCUAACGGCCACCAUUUGGGGCGUUUUUGUUCUGCAAUUCGGUGUGGUGCUAGUUAAGGAGAUCGCGUGUGGUGCUCGUCAAGGAGAUCGCGCAGAGAGGCAGAGAGGCAGAGGGUGACAUCGAGUUUAGGGUUUGCACAGUGAGAGACAAAAGUGUUGAUGGGAAGGGUUGGGGGUGGACAGAGGGUUGAUGGGAAGGGUAGGAGCUAGAGAGGGGGGGGUGGGGGUGAGGGUGGGUUCUGUCCACUGACGUUGGUUGCAGAGAGAGAGAAAGAUGGGAACGGGUACAGAGAGAAAGAGUGAGUCUUUAUUGAGUUUCAGAACUUUCCUCUCUGAUUUUCUGAUUAUUUUCUCAAUUGGGCUUAUUUCUUACCAAUUUCCUUUGAGAUUUAUGCAUGUGUGUUUGUUAAUGCUCUGUUUCUUCGUUUUUACAGGAAAUGGAAUUGCUCUCUUCCUCUUCUUGGCAACCAUGUAUGCCCUCUCUCUCUCUCAAAUUCUUUCAUUAGGGGUCUAAGGUGAUGCCUUUUUGCCUAAAAUAUCAUUUUGUUAAAUGGCUUAUGAUAUUUUGAUUCUCUGCACAUUCUGCGUAGUUCAAAAAGCAAAAUCUCUCUCUCUCUCUCUCUCUCUCUCUCUCUCUCUCUUUUCCUUUUUGUGGCUAAAGAUCAUGUCUUUUGUGUCAUAAAUUUGUUUUUGUUACAUGGGGUUCUGUAUAUCUUUUGGAUAAUCAAAAAGCUUGAAUGUUUACUAGGUUUCUUUAAAUUUCUUUGAAUUCUACCUUGUGAUUUUGGUUUAGAAAUGUGUAGAAUUACAUUUAUGAGGAUCAUAAGGAAGAGAAGCACAUAUCAGUUCUUAGGCAUUCCAUACGUAAUGACUAUGCUUAACUGCCUACUCCCACUUGGAAUGCUGCUUUGCCUCUCUCUCUCUCUCUCUCUCCCCCCCUUCUGCUGUGUAUUGCCUAAUUAGUUAUUUACAUUUGUUUAUUUGUCUCUGUAAAGCUUUCAUGCUUGGAUUUUAAAUGUAUGAUUCAAUUAGAAACCUUUAUAAUGUUGAUGUUAUAGAACAUUCAACAGAUAUAUAUUCAACAUUAGGUAGCUCUGGCAAAAUCAUAUAGACUAAGAUUUGGUAAUAUAUGGAGGUGAGAGUGAAUCUGCCUUGCUUGCCAUGAUAUAGGCUUGCAAUGAUGGCUUUCUCUUUGUAGUACUACAUUCUACUCUUACAUGCUAACAUCAGAAAGCAGACUAAGAUAGAUCCAAACCCAAUUUUAUUAAUUAAAGUUAACGGAAAGAAAAUGAUUUAUGCAUGCCUUUGUUUAUUUGUCACUUGAUUUUGGUUUAGGUUGACCAUAGCUAAAACAUCCAAGACUUGCCUAACACCUAAUUUGACGAAGACCGUAUCCUUUUUAGCCUUUAGGUGUGUGUUUGCUAGCUAGAUGGGUGGUGGGUGAGUCUUGGAUGUUAUCUUGGAUGUCUUGAUUAUUUUGGUGGGCGAGUCUUGGAUGUUUUGGUUCUGUCUUCUUCAACUCUUAUAUCUUCCCUUUUUCUGAAUUUUCUUUAUUUCUUAUCCUUUAAACUUUGUAUUUUUUUUUAAAUAUAUAUAUUUUUUGGUGAUGCAGAUAGAUGAACAUGUUCAAGGGGAAAUCAUGAACCACAGAUCACUGCAUCUGAAUAUUGUUUGAUUCCAAGAGGUCAGUGAUCGUAAACUUUUUCAUUUUGUAUUUUAAGAAUGAAUUUGGCAAGUUGUGUUUGAAUUUUGUAUAAGUAUCUGCUGAGGGUGGGUGGAUGAAGACAGAACACACUAAAUUUGGCCUCUGGUGUGCUUAAACUGGUACGGGGGAUGGUUAGAACUUUGAGCGCGGAAUGCAGUAGGACUAAAAGGAAAUGCCCUACCCACCGGGGCAAUCCACCACUUGCAGAAUUGUUGUCAAAAUAACUCUGCUAAAAAUAUGAUCUAUACUUCCUGCACUUUGUUUUACUGUGAAGUUGAAAUAGUCUUUAGAGUGGCUUAUUUGUGAUAAUCGAUAAAUAGGUUUGUGUUUAAGACUUGAGAGUAGUGCGGUGUCUUUCUUGCUGGUUCUGCUCACACCACCUCAUCUAGCCAUUGUGAUGGAGUACACGGCUGGGUGAGAACUCUUCGAGAGAAUAUGCAGUGCUAGCAGAUUUAGUGAGGAUGAGAUAAAGUAGUUUCAAAUGCAGAGAAAAUUUCAUUGGAAAUGAUUUUAGUGUAGAGUCUCAAAUAUGGGAUCUCUGAAUGUCCCCUGAAAUGGAAUCCAUCUCGAUUUUCGUCUAGUUUCAGAUAGGGAAAGUUAGGUCUGAAGCAUUUUUACAUAAAUAGUCAGUCAUAAUAUAACUAAAACUUACAUACUUUUUCAAUUUAAUUGUUGUUUUGCAUCAGGCAAGGUUUUUCAUCCAGCAGUUGAUAUCAAGAGUUAGUUGCUGUCAUUUGAUGGUAUGUAAAUCCUAUAAAUUCGGAUUAAAAUUAAAGCAACUAUAGAACAAAAACCUCAAGAAAUCAACGCGAGUUUACCUGUAUUUGAUCAUUUGUGGGAAAAUCAACACAUCGCCGUCGGAAAACUCAGUUCCUUCGCGUCCUUCAAUUACUGUCAACAACGUCUAUCAAAAACCAAGAAAAAAGUGAGUAAUGGAGUCGGCUCAACACCAGAACUCAGUAGCUCCAGGAAAUAAGAAACGGUAAGAAAAAGCAAUCAGAAACCCCGACGAAUUGAGCUGGAAAAUGGACCUUAAAGGUGAUGUCGUUCUUGCGAGCUUUGAGAGCAGAUGCGAAGAUUUUAGGGAGUGGAUCGGACUCAUAGCCUUUGAUGCGCCAUGGCCAGGCCUCGAGGGUCUUGUAGCAGAGGAAAACGUGGCGAUAGUAUGACAGUGUAUCGUCAUCAGUGUCUUCAUCAGACUCAUAUGACACAGUAGUGUCUUCAUCAGACUCAUAUGACAUAGUCUCAUAGUUGUCCCAAUUAGUACGAUCAUCGGACAAAUCCCAUUUUACAAUAUCCACUCCAGUUUUGUUCACCUUAAUAAUUGUAUUAUCUAGUCCAUAAAAUUGUGCUUGUACAAGAACCAUGUCGCCGCCUUUCAAAUUGAGCUUCUUGUUUUGAAAGAUUUCCCAACCAAAGAUAAUAUUCAUGGGAAGCAGUUACGGUGGCCUCAAUUGGCCAGAUACGAAAAUUAGUUUGCUGGGUACGAUUAACAACAUCAAUGGUUAGAAACCCACUAGAGUCGGAGUUGUCCGAAGAAUAAACGAUGCCCAAAGCCAACCCUCCUAUAUAAUCAAUACAUGGCGGCACUUUAAAUUUGACAGUUUCAUCCUCUCUCGCGACAUAGGCUAACCGCUUCGGAAUAUCAUUUCUAGAGAGAAAAAUUCCACCAAAUGCAUUUUUCUACAACAUGGGGUGCAAAGUUAGUAAAAGCAACAAUACAAAAAGCAGAGAGAGAGAGAGAGAGAGAGAGAGAGAGAGAGAGAGAGAGAGAGAGAGAGAGAGAGAGAGAGAGUACCAUACCGUUUGGAGGUUCUCCUUAAAAGUAUCAGUGAGACUGGUACACCCUUCCAUAUAAAUUGAAUCCAUGUAGUCCAAUGAGUUCUCCAAGUUUGGAAUAUCUUUGAGUUUGCGGCAGUCUUUCAGUUGCAAGUGUUUCAUUUUCGACAUCUCUGAAAAGUCGGACACUAUUUCCAGUGCUGUGCAGUAAUUCGCUUCCAAUACACAUAAACUGUUGGGCAAAUCUGGGAUUGCCUGAAGGUUUGUGCAAUGAUUUAGACAUAAACUCCAAAGCUGAGAAAGACCACUGAGAAUGGGUAGCCUAUUAAAACCAUUCCCACCUAGAUCUAAAAUUUUUAAAGAAGAUAGACUCCCAAUUAUUUCGAGAAGGGCACCAUCUGUUAUAUUGCAGUCGCUGAGAUGUAAUUCCUCAAUCAUCUUCAGUUGUGCUAAAAAAUGGUAACCCCCACACAAACCCUUACAGUCUCUGAUGGUCAAGUACCGGAGAUGUGGGAGUUUUGAAAAGUUUGGUAAUUCAGUCAGGUUACGGCAGUGUACAAGAACGAGAAACUUCAACUUCUUAGGUAACUGUUACUCAAAAAGAGAAAACAAUAAUAAAAAUCCAAAUAAAUAAAAGAGAGAAUGCAUGACGAUGACUGAUGUUGAUAUUUACAAGGACAUUGAUAGUUAUAUUGUACCAAGUCUGAAUCCUCCCAAACUCGUACGAUCUUGCUGGACCACAGUUCCAUAUAAACUAGGUUUCGUUGAUCAAAAUCUGCUGGUAUGGCUUCAAGAGGAAAUCCAAUCCAAUACAAUAAUCUUAACUCCUUGGAAAGAUGUUUGUAGCUUCCAGUCAGCUUUACAUUUCCCAGCCAGAGAAUUCUCAGUCGCCACAUCUUGUUAAAUGCUUCCGUACUGAAGCUUUGCUCGUCAUCAGAAUGUUCUGGCAAAAAUAAUUCUAGUCCUUCAACUGCUUCUGUUCCCUGUUAGAGAUAUAAAAAAAAAACAAGAAAAGGAUAAUAUUCACACGAAGCAGAGUUGUGAAUCGGAUGAAUGAACUACUAAAAAGGUAGGGCAUACAACAUAAUUAUUUAUUUUCUCUUUCAAAUUACCCAGUGGAUGAAAGCCUUUUCUUUUCUUCUUUUUCUUCGAAUAUACUAUGUAUGUCAUACACUAUAUAUAUACAGGAUAUGCUUAUAUACUUCUCUUUUUUCAUAUGUACUUAACAUCUCUUUUAUUGCAAAAGUACUUACAGAUUCGUUCCAUAGCACACUUUUUGCAUCUUCCAUAUGCCACAAUCGACUACGUUUUCCCAGUUCCACAGGAGAUUCUGCCCGCACAAUUUCUCUUCCCAUAUCUCGAAUCAAAUCAUGCAUCCUCAAUGCUCCCCCUUUAUCAAUAUAUAAGAGACAUCGAUCACAAAGUGUGGUAAUUUCUGCUUCUACAGAAAAAUGACUACAACCAUCCAAUAUUGUCGUGACCACACUUAUAGACACUCCAAUAAAGAAAUUAGAUAUGUCAAGGAACACACCCUUCACAUGAUCGUCACGUAACCCAUCGUAGCUUAAUUUAAGUGUUUGAUGAAUUUUUCCAUCUGGAAUAUUUCUUAAUUUAUUCAAUGUACUUUUCCAUAUGCUUUUACUCUUUUUCGUAGCCAACAAACGGCCAACAACUUCAAGAGCUAGGGGCAAUCCUCCACAAUAAUCAACAACAUCUCUUGCGAGUUCAAUAUAUUCUUCAUCGGGACAAUCAUUUCCAAAGGCAUGCCAACUAAGAAGCUUAAGAGCUUCAUCAUCAGUCAUUCCUUGUGCUUUAUACCUUUUAUCCACCUUUUGUAUAUUCAGCACUUGUUCAUCUCUUGUCGUUAUAAUAAUCCUACUCCCUGGACCAAACGAGUCAUGUGCUAUUGCCAAUUUAUCUAAUUGGUCCGCAUCAUCUAUGUCAUCAACCACGACAAGUACCUUCAUGCUUCCAAGUCUUUUCUCUAUCUCCUUGGUUCCUUCAGCAACAUUGCUUACCUUAAUGUCAGGCCGUUUCAAAAUAUCUCCAAGAAGUUGUUCUUGCAGACUAACCAUAUUUUUCUUGUUACUCCUCACCUCUUCAAGGUAACAUUGACUACUGAAACUAUGACCAUAUUUGCUACAAAUGGCUUUGGCAAGUGUUGUUUUACCUAUACCGCCUGUACCCCAAAUUCCAAUUAUUUGAACAUCAGGUGAACCUCCAACGUCUAAGUAUUCAGUGCUGAAUUCUUGCACGCGAAAAGCUAUUCCAACUGAGUGCUUGGCUUUUAAGUCUACGGGUUUCAAUAUUCCCUUGAUGUCCCCAGUAAUUUUCUCGAUAAACACUCCUUCACGCCUACAAGUAGAAAUUCCAAAUUACGAGAGCCAUACUAAAUGCCUUAAUCAUCAUGCCUUUAUAUUUACAUAUUGAAACAGAUUGGAAUAAAUUGUGAUUUACUGAGCUCAAUUCAACCACGUAUUUAAUCUUCGAUUAUAACGUGAAUAACCAAUUGGACUACUACACAAUUGUAGCUUUCAGUUAUAUAAUUAAGAAUCCAUUACAAUUGGUAUUUUAAUUUGAUAAAGUGUGGAGCAUUUGUCCUUCACACACCUAUAAAAAACAAUCACUUCCUUAAUUUUGACGGAAAUUCUUAUGCAAAUGCUCUACAACAAUAACAACAACAAAGCCUUUUCCCACUAAGUGGGGUCGAUAAAUAAAUGAUGCAAAUGCUCUACCUUUUAUAAAAUUCAUAUGCCAAUUCUAAUAAAUUUUUAUGCAGUGACCAAAAUUACAGUUCUAUCAUAGUUCACGGACCAACGAUCCAAUUUUUCUUAUAACUUAUAAAAUCAGAUUCAAUGCCUUAAUUAUAAUAUCUUAAUUUUGGUUGAUUAGUGAAAUAUGGCGAUAUGAAAUUUGAAGUAAACAAAAAAGUAUACCCGUCGGCCGUGGUUUUGAGGUUCCAGCCGGCCAAAUCUGCAGAAGCCUUAAGAUCCUCUCUCCACUGCUUGACCACAUUUGGAUCUUCAUCCUUUUCAUGCUUCUGAAAUGCUUCCCCAAAACUAUCUUUCUGUUUCCUGACUUGAGAAGGGUCAACGUCGUAGAAUAUUGGACACACUAUUUUCCCCUCUUGAUUUUUUAGGCACCUCAUGAUCUUCGACAGCUCCCUCAGGCACCAUCGGGACUCGGCGUACCUCUUUGAGAAGACGAUGACGGCGAUUCUCGACCCUUCGAUUUCUUGGUCAAGUUCCCUCUGUAUGUUUUCCCCCCUUCUGAGCUGUGUGUCUAUAAAUGUGUUAAUUCCGGCAUUGCGUAAUGCAAUGAAGAGGUGGUCUGUGAAGGUAUUGCGGGUGUCUUCACCUCUAAAGCUCAGGAACACCUCGUACUUCCAGCGGUUUGAGCUCCGCGAGGAAGACGAAGAGGCGGCAGCGGCGGCUCCAUGGUCGGAGCUGCUGGCAUCCAUUGCAGCCUGUAGAAGUGCAGCUUGACUUUCAAAUAACCAAAGUCAAUCUUUCCCAAGCUUCCCGAGUGUAGGCGACCCUAUUAAAUUUUUUGCAUAGGGCAAUGAUGUCACUGCCGUGUCGAUAACGCGUGAGUGGUAUUCCUCCCACAAUUUAAUUUGUAUAAAUGUUACCAUCAAAUUUUAAAAAAAUAAAUCGUAUAACUGCUUUACGAUGCAAUUUCCUUUCUUUUGUAGUUUUAAGGGUGGUGCGCAGGUAGGUUCAACUGCGGCUGCUGGUGGACGUCACGACAGCGUUAUAAGAAUCUUCGGUGAAAACAGGUCCACAAACACCACAUCUAUUAUCUCGACACCAUGUGCACAUACAUUACAUGGGAGCCAGUCAACGCCUCUUGCACUCCGGAAGCCCAUGGUUUGUGAUUCACAAGGACAUCAUCAACAAAGCUGUCCACAUCCGACUCUUUCAAGCCCCUUUGAUUGAGAAACAAAAACAACCACAGAAUCACAAAGUUAAAAAUCCCCAAAUACUUAUCGCUAACACGCCCAUUUAGGGCUGGUUUGGUAUUGCUGUGCUUUGAAAAAAAGCUGCUGUAAGAAUAAGCGGCUGUGCUGUGAGAAUAAGCGGCUGUGAAAUAAAACCAGUAGAGUGUUUGGUAAACUUUUUUGUGAAAGUGCUUUUGGAAAAAAAAAGCAGGAUGAUAGUGUGUCUUUUUAUUAAAAGAGCACCGUAGCUCUGUGUGCUUUGAAAAAACUGGUUUUUUUUUCAAAGCAGCAAAUAGCAGCUUCAGCUUUUCCUUUGAUUUUCAGCUUAUUCUCACAGCAGCUUCCAAAAUAAGCUCUUUUUUUUUUUUCAGUUUACCAAACACAAAAAUGACCAUCAGUUUUUUUUCACAGUGGCUUUUUUUAAAAUCACCUCAAUCCCAAACGGGGCCUUAGUAAUCACAAAUACUUAUCGAAAACUAGACAACAACCUUCACUAAGUUUUUGUGCUGCACUUUCGACAUCAUUGCCACUUCCCUCGCAAACCGCUCUUCUCUCUUGGCAAUCUGCUCUGGGGUUUCUCCUCUAUGAACAUUUUUUACAGCAACUUUUUGACUCUUAUAUCUAGAACAAACAAACGCAACCACCAAACAGAUUAAGAACACAACAGAACAGAACAUCAUCGUUGUAACUCGACACGAAAAACACAUAUUCGGCAUCAUAAACACCAUAAUUGCAGAACACCAAAUCAAGUUUUGAUCUUUGAUUAGUUCUGCAAAAACCCAACUCAAAUUUGCAUUUAUAUUUAACAAGAUCUAAGGCAUCAUAUUAAAUUGCUAAACUUGAGAGACCAGAAAUUCAGAAUUUAAGACAAACAAAAGAUGUUUUGGAUCGAUCAGCCACUUGGCAUCCAAAUCGAAAUCCCCAACUGAAUAAACCCCAUUACCAGAUCCCAUAAUUUUCUCUCUCUAAAAUUCAACAAGAACAAAACAAGAACAACAUACACUGACUAAUUAACCAAAACAAAGGGUACCCUUUAUUUGUAGGACCACAUUUGAAGUAAAGAUGAAAGCUUUGGUCUGGAUAAAAAUGGAAAAAAUUAAUAAAAUCAGCAGACUUCGUAUGAUUGGAGAGGGAGAAAGAUGAAGACUUUCUAUAAUAAAAGGACUUGCUUGGUACUGUAGGUUUCAGAAAACAGACCCAUCCCCGGAAUCACGGUUGAGGAUCCUACAAAGAAUUUAGCACAAGAUUGUUUGCCCUCCCACUUCCGGUGCCCUCUCAUGUCCUUCUGUUUUGUGUGGUCACGAUUAAGCCAUAUCAAUAUUUUAUAUUGUUUUUUUUAUAGAGAUAAUAAGAUAAAAAUAAAUAGUAAUAUAAAAUAUUGAUGUAGCUUAACCGUGACCAUACAAACAGAAGGGUACAUGAGGGCACUAGAAGUGAGAGGGCAGACAAUCCUUGUCCAAAAAUAAAAUCCCAGAGGCACCCACCAACAACCCUACAAUAUAAAAAGGAGGUGGAUUUUCUGCUCUCUCAUUUCCAUACUCUUCCCAUUCCCUUCUGUUUGUGUUAUCACGGUUAGGCCACGUUAACAUUUUAUAUUCAUAUUAUUUUUUAUUUUAUUAUUUUUAUAAAAAAAAUAAUAUAAAAUGUUGAUGUGACUUAAUCGUGACCACACAUCACAGAGGAGAUGAGGAAAGUAUGAAAAUAUGAGGCAAGACAAUCCGCCUCCAUAUAAAAAUGGUCACUGAUGAGAGCUCUAUCAGUGGGAGUGGAUUAGAUUUAUUAUUGGGAAUUGGGGAGAGAGAGGAAUCAGUAGAAGAGCAAGCAGAUAGAGUUGAGCAAGGCAGAGGAGGAUGAAACUGAGAGGAGGUGGAGAUUUGGGAACUUGGUGGCGGCGAUGGUGGCGGUGGGCGGGUGGGAAGUGAGUUCAGUUGAGAUUAAUUUAUUGGCCUUCUCCGCGAGUGGAAUGUUAUUGUCUUGUCUUCUAGAUCCAAAGAUAAACUAGUCUCUGUCAGAGAAUAGUGUGUUUCCUUUGUUUUUCUUCCUUUCUACCUCAUUUUCCCUUAUUUAUACUAGCAAGAAUAAAAAUUUAUAAUAAGAGAAAAUGUAAAUUGAUUUCUAAAUUUUUUUUCUUUAUGAUAUUCAAAUGAUUUUGCCUUGCUGAAUGAGACUGUUCAUAUCUUUGACUACUAGUUCUGAAUAAAUAUUUCUUUAACUAAAAGUUUACAAGGCAACUGAAAUGAUUACUUAGUUAUAAGACUUUGGAAAAAAAAUUACAAGUAUUUUGUGUGCAAUUUACUAUAUUAUGCAUAACUUUUAAUAUAUUAAUUUAUUUAAGUUAAUUUGGUCUUUUAACUUUUAUUUGGUUGAUUAAAAGAGUUUUGUUGAUAGGUAGUUUAGAUUAUAAUAAAAUAAAAUAAUUACUAAAUAAAUAGUUUUUUUAAUAAUAUGAUAUUAUGUACAUUAAGUGGUGGAGGGAGUGAGUUAAGCUUCACAAUGAGAUAGUCAUAAUAAUUUGUUCAAAUUUAUCUUAAUGAUAAUCGAACUUAAGACUUCUUAUGUAUGAGAGAUUUUUCAAUUUACUAGAAACACAUUGUAAAAAUACAAUUGGUUGGAAACUUAAAAAAUACAAUUUCAAACUAUUUUAUUAUGACACUUGGUGUAUCAAGUCAUGUUUAGUGUUCACACCACACUGAAAAUUUUCUCCUCACUUACAAGUCAAAAGGAAUACUAUUAAAUCGUAAUAUAAGUGACUACUAAAUAACUAAUUUAUAUAUUUGAUUUUUAAAAGUUUAGGGGAAAGGAAAGCUAAUCCAUCAAGGCCAAGGCAUAUAACAAGUAUCCUCGAGAACUUACACAAGGGGUCUUAGUCCUUUUUUUGUUUUUACAGAUCUUGCACAAAAAAUGGUUGCUUACAAUGGAACUCAAACAUAGACCUUGCAACUCAACCAAUCCUCAGUGGAAAAUACACAUGUAUUUGAGCAAUCUUUUAAUUAAUUUAAACUAAAUUAUCGAGUCAAAACUCCAUGCAAUAAACAUAUUGUUUUAAUUAAAUUAUUCAUAUACAAUAAUAAAAUGUCUAUUUAUAUCAUAGAUUCUAAGAUUUGAUAAAGAGAAUAUUUCCAAGAUGUGCAUAGACAUAAAACACAUACACACUACUCUAACUAAAUUAAUCAAGAACAAUUCUGCAAGAAAAUGGAAGAUAUGUGACUUUUAUUUAUUUCCUAGAUUCUAAGAAGGAUAAGAAAAUGUUGUCGGAGAAAAAGAAAGGUAAACGGGCGAUAAGAAGACGAAUACAACACAAUGAUACAAUUGGGGCUUCGAGAAAGUGCCCUUUUGGUAUCCACUAAGGCCAAAAACCCAUCACAAUAAUUGAAUUACCAAUGUCUUAUUAGAAAGUAAAACACAUUAUUUUGGCGAUUUUGAAACUUGAAUGACAAAUAUGACAUAGACAAUAAGGAUGUGUGACUCAGAUACCAGGUUGGAGGAAAAUGGACUGAAGUACAAAGGUUAAGGCAAGGAGAUAUGUGAGAGGUAUUACAUGAGUUAAUUAUCAAAUUAUUAUGACAUAUUUUAUCGCGUUUUUUAUGAGAGAUUUUUUAGUGUGCUGAAAACACAGCUCGAUACAUCAAGUGUCAUCACAUAACUGAUUGGAUACUUGAAAAAAAUAAAAUUCAACUUGUAUGAUGACACUUGAUUUAUCGGGUUGUAUUCCGGCACACUAAAAAGUUGUCAUCUCCUAGUUCAGAUAUACUGCUCUUUAUUUUAAACACAUCUUUGUACUCAUUAAAAGACAAAAAGACAAGCAAAUAUUUUGGUCCCAGUAUGCAAGAACCAUACAAUAUACUUAGAAAUAUCAAGCAUCCCGUUGGAAAUCAACUGUAAGGCAAAUAUUAUCAACGAAACAAAAGAAGGAAUUGCACAAUUCAUUUGGUGAUUAGGCGAACUAACAACAAAAAAAAUAUAAAAAAUAACGAGUCAAUAAUUUAAACACUGAACUAAAUGAUCCUUACGAAGAUGUGGGUUGUUGAAGAGUUAGAUCAUCACUUUCCUUAACUACACCAAACAACAUACUCCAAAUGGCUUUUGCAAUCAUUGUUUUACCUAUACCGCCCAUACUUCAAAUUCCAAUUAUUUGAACAUCAGGUGAACCUCCAACAUCCAAGUAUUUAGUACUGAAUUCUUGCACGCAAAAAGUUGUUCCAACUGAGUGCUUGGUUUCUUUUAAGUCUGUAGUUUUCAGUAGUCUCCUAAUGUCUCCAACAAUUUUCUCGAUAAACAAUCAUUGAUGUCUCGCGGUUAAAAUUCAAAAUUAUACAAAAGUAAGAUUCAUCAUGCAACUGCAAGAUUUAUAUCAACUAAAGGCUUUUGAUUCAAAAUGGUCCCUGAGAUUUGCAUCAUCCAUAAGUUUGGUCCCUGAGAUUUAAAAUUAAUAGAAGUAGUCCCUGCGAUUGUCCACCAUCCAUGAUUUUAGUCCUUCCGCUAAAGUUUUUGGCCAGAAGUUGGGCAAUUUUCAAAGCUUCGUAACUCAAUCGUUUUUUAACCAAAUUCGACCCAUAAUAUAUCAAAAUGAAGAUAGGAAAGUGUAGAAUAAGAUUAUAUCUAUUUGGAAGCCCAAUCAAUGGAAAACUGGAAAACUUGCCGGAAACUCGCCGAAAACUGGGUAAAUUUUAAACAUUCAUAACUUCUUCAAUACUCAACGAAAUCAAGUGAUUCAAAAACAAAAACCAUACUUCUCAACAAGAAGAAGAGAAUGGUACCUUUUUAAAUGGCUAACUCGCCUUGGUUUGGCCGGAAAACGGCUCGAAAGUGGCUGUUGAAAAACGAGUUAGCAACUUUCGAGCCGUUUUCCGGCCAAACCAAGGCUUUUUAGCCGUUAAAAAAGGUACCAUUCUCUUCUUCUCGUCGAGAAGUAUGAUUUUUGUUUUUGAAUCACUUAAUUUUAUUGAAGACGUUAUGAACGUUUAAAGUUUAUCCAGUUUCCGGCGAGUUUUCCAGUUUUUCCUCGGACCAGUCAAUUUUGAGGCUAUUUUCCGACCAUCGUCGGCAACCAUUGGGCUUCCAAAUAGAUAUAAUCUUAUUCUAUACUUUCCUAUUUUCAUUUUGAUAUAUUACGGGUCGAAUUUGGUUAAGAAACGAUUGAGUUACGAAGCUUUGAAAAUUGCCCAAACUUCCGGCCAAAAGCUUCAACGGAAGGACCAAAAUCAUGGAUGGUGGACAAUCUUAGGGACAACUUCUAUUGAUUUUAAACCUCAGGGACCAAACUUAUGGAUGAUGCAAAUCUUAGGGACCAUUUUGAAUAAAAAACCUCAACUAAAUGCCUCAUUCAUCAUGAUUAGAUAUUUUGGUAGCGAAAACGUUUUGAAUAAGUUAGAUUUGAUCGAGAUGACUAGUUAAGUUCAAUUUAGCCGUGUUUCUGAAAUGCAUUGUAACCGUAUUAGUUAAGCUCAGUUAGAUUGCUCAUGAACUAUAAGAAGGCGUUUGUUUGCCCUCACUAAACCGUAUUAUAGCUUUUAGUCAUACAAUUAGAAAUCCAUUAGAAUUAGUAUAUGGGUUUGACAUACGGAGGAUUCGUCCUUCACGCAUUACCAAAAGCUCCAAAGUUUUUUCCUAUAAACGUAUAAAAUCAAAGUCUGAUCAUAAUCUCCUUAUUUUUGGUGAAUUAGUGAGUCUUAGAAGCUAAUACAAGACAUUGGAAUUAAAUUUAGAGGAAAAAUUAAAAUACCUGUCCGCUGUGGUUUUAAGAUUCCGGCCACACAAAUCUGCAGAAGCCUUAAGAUCCUUCUCCACUGCUCGACCUCAUCUGGAUCUUCAUCCCUUUCAUGCUAACAAAGUUAAAAGAAUAAGGUAAAGUGAGACACCUAAUAAAAGUUUAGGUGGUAAAGUGAACAAAUGAGCAUAUAGAGUGAAGUAAAAUUUUGUCUACAUAAGUGUCAUAGAAAUGCCUUUAAUAUUUUUUACAUAUAGAAAAUAAAUAGGGUUAAUUACAUCGAUGUUCCCUGAAUUUGUCAUUUAUCUUCAUUUUCAUUCUUAAACAUUUUAUUUGUUUUAUAUGAUCUUCAAGCUCGCUAUUGCAUGACUUUUUUUUUUAUAUCCUUUUCGUCAACUUCAUCUAUUUUUCUAUUAAGUAGAGAUGAUAAAUUUAAAAUUCAUCCCACAACCUAAAAAAUGGGAAAAAGGAGGUGGAUGUACAAAAUUCUUGCUAUGCCCUCUAUAUUUAACAGAAAAAUAAAAAUAAAUUGGUCAAAAAUAGAUUUUGUUAGAUUAGUCACUAACGGGGUUCAAACUCACACCGUCAUGCAAGAUCUUAACUCAUUUCCACCACUAUAGUAAAGGGCCACUUGCAACCAAAAAAUAAAUUGAAUUAAUGGAUAUAAUUGAAUCACCACAUGAGAGAGUUUGAGAACCACAAUAAGAAAAAAAAAAAAGAAAAACUAUUCUAGAACGAAAGUAAAAUUCUUGACAACAAUGUUGUAUAUUUGAAAAAUAGUUCAAGCAGAUUAAGAUGUUAGCACAGAGUCAUUUAUCUCGUUUAUUGAACAAACAACGAGGACAUCAAUGCCGUUUUUUCUCUUUUGAAAUUCCUAAACAACAAAAUUGAGAUUUCUUUCACAAAAAUUACCAUAAAUUUUGACAAAAUUGACGGUCGAAUUAUAAAUCCAGCAGGCAAAUCGAAAACAAUCACAGGAGCUUAGAACACACCACAUCAACAUUUAGCAAGCAGUCUCAUAGGAAAUCCCAAUCAAGAUAAAACUAUUCAACAAUUUAUUACAUUUCGUUCAUAUAAGAGCAUGGUUAGGAGGAUUAUUUAAUUGACGUUAUAACAUCUUUCUACAAAGAAAAAAAUGAAAAAGAAAAUAGGGCCUCGGCACCCGUGGCAAAACCCAACAUGGAUUAGAGUACGUUUCAGCCUGACCUUCUGUAAAAGCUAUAGGCCACAGCCACUGUUGCCACUGCUCCAACCACGGCAGCAGCUGCGAGAACAUCGCUUUGCUCCCAGUUCCCAAUCAAGCUUGACAGCUUCCGUAAGGCAUCCUUUGUGGCACACGACUCUGUGGUUUCUUUCGACUUCAUUUCCUCACUUCCACCGUUCUCCUCCAAACUUACUUCUUUGCAGCAUGUAAAUCCAUCACUAUUAGCACCCUGGCAACAGCUUGAAAAGUUCUCAUUAUUCUCAAUAUGAUUGCCCUUUUCUUGGUGAAUCUGAUUGCUAUUUUCAUGUGGCUUCUCCUUGAUUUUCUUAUUUUCUUCUCCAUUUGGAAGUUCCCGGUCAUUAAUUUGUUCAGCUUCAUCAGAAAAUGCUCCCAUUUGGCCUCUGUAAGGAAUGAAAUUGAAUUUCGUGUUCAGCUAUUUAAAGAUUCAACUCUUAAGUUUCUUCAAUGCAGUUACAUCCAAUUUAGAAACAUAUACAGAGUAAUACUGUUGUAUCCAAUUCUUUUGUGCUUUCUCCACAGAAGUUCCUCGAUGUUAUUGUAACUCUAUAUCAAUAAAUCUAUCAUACAAGACUAGACAUAACCAUCAAUUGAAAAAUAUGACAACACAAGCUUCCGUCCAGUGAAAUUUUCAUCCAAAGACAAUAGGCAAAACCGAAAAUCUACAAACCUCCAAAGUCGUUCUAUAAUCUCUCCCUUCCCAAUAUGCUCAUCAAGCAAUUCCGGCACAUCAUCAGGAGUGACGUAGCCAUACCUGCAAUUAAUAAUACAUAAUAUUCAAAUUUCAUCGAUCCCAAUACGACAAAAUUUUAGAUUGUUAUGAUCCGAAUAUUACCAAUGGCCUGUUAUGCUUCCAUCUGAACCUGGGCUGUAGAUAAUCAAGUUUCCAUUGUGGCCUCCAGUGUGAAAGCAAGCAGCAACAAAUAUCUGAUUCGUCAAUCCUCGUAGCUCAGCCUCCUCUUUGAACUUAUUAAUGAGAACACAUGCACUAUCACGAUUCCAUUCCUCUCGACUACCAUGUGCACAUACAAAUACAUAGGAGCCAGUCAACGACUCUUGCACUCCGGAAGCCCAUGGUUUGUGAUUCACAAGGACAUCAUCAACAAAGCUGCCCACAUCCGACUCUUUCAAGCCCCUUUGACAACAAACAAAAACAACCUCAUAAUCACAAAAAGGGAUUUACAGGCAAGGAAUUAGUCGUAAACUGAGCCAUUAAAUUCAAAGGAAAACUAAUGAAAAGAGCUUGAAAACUUUGAGUUUUAACGAUAAGGACAAAAUAAAGGGUAAAGUGAAUAGUACCAGGAUUGACUUUUUAGUGCAAAAAUGUGGUUUUUCGUUAAAGUGAAAAGUACCAAGAGCUUUUCGUUAAGGUUCCCUAAAUUCAAUUUCUACAACUAAUUUCAGAAGCUAACACACAUCUAAUCAUCUAUUUAGGUCAGUGGAUUCAUGUUGGUUAUGGAAUGGGCCCUCCAUUAUGAAUUAAUUACGGUUUGCCAUUGUGUGUGUUAGUGUGGGCCGUGCUUAACAGCUGGGUUGGGCUGCUGCAUUUGGGCCCAGGGUGCAGCUCUCACGGGUUUUGGGCUGGGUUUCACCGAAAUAUCAAAUGACUCUUUUGCCCCCUUCAGUCCUAAUCCGACGGCCACCAUUUGCGGCGUUUGUGGUCUGCAAUUCGGUGGGGGGGGGAGGUGGGGUUAGCUUGCUUUCAAUCUCGUCAAGGAGUUCGUGCAGAGAGGCAGGGGAUGACAUCAAGUUUAGGGUGUGCACAGUGAGAGAGAAGAGGGUAGGAGCUAGAGAGAGGGGGGUGGGUUCUGUCCGCGGACGUAGGUUGCAGAGAGACAGAGAUGGGGAAAAGUAUGGGGGUGGGGUUGAGGGGAACGUGUACACAGAGAGAGUGAGGAAGGGACAUAGGAGCUAGAGGUAUGGGAAAGGAGUCGAGGAGUUGAGGAGUCGAGGGGUUGAGGGGUUGAGGGGUUGAUUUGUCAGGGGCUGCUGCAUCCUUCCUAUUCAAAAGGUAACAAAUAAUUUUCAAUUCAUUCUUUACCCUUGAAUGUGGAUUUACUGUUCGGGGUUGAGGAGGACAUCAUAUAUCUUCCCUUUUUCUGAAUUUUAGUUCUGUCUUCUUCGACUCUUAUAUCUUCCCUUUUUCUGAAUUUUCUUUAUUUCUCAUCCUUUAAACUUUGUAUUUUUUUUAAAUAUUUAUUUUUUUGGUGAUGCAGAUAGAUGAACAUGUUCAAAGGGGAAUCAUGAACCACAGAUCACUGCAUCCGAAUAUAGUUUGAUUCAAAGAGGUCAGUGAUCAUAAACUAUUUUCAUUUUGUAUUUUAAGAAUGAAUUUGGCAAGUUUUGUUUGAAUUUUGUAUAAGUAUCUGCUGAGGGUGGGUGGAUGAAGACAGAACAAACUAAAUUUGGCCUCUGGUGUGCUUAAACUGGUACGGGGGAGGGUUAGAACUUUGAGCCCAUGAUGCAGUAGGACUAGAGAAAUGCGGCAAUCCACCACUUGCAGAAUUAUUGUCAAAAUAACUCUGCUAAAAAUAUGAGCUAUGCUUCCUGCACUUUGUUUUUACUGUGAAGUGGAAAUAGUCUUUAGCGUGGCUUAUUUGUGAUAAUUGAUAAAGAGGUUAGUGUUUAAGACUUGAGAGUAGUGCGGUGUCUUUCUCGCUGGUUCUGAUGAUGGAGUACACGGCUGGGUGAGAACUCUUCGAGGGAAUAUGAGGAUGAGAUAAAGUAGUUUCAAAUACAGGGAAAAUUUCAUUGGAAAUGAUUUUAGUUUAGUUUCAGCUAGGGAAAGUUAGGUCUGAAGCAUUUUUACAUAAACAGUCGGUCAUAAUAUAACUAAAACUUACAUACUUUUUCGAUUUAAUUGUUGUUUUGCAUCAGGCAAAGUUUUUCUUCCAGCAGUUGAUAUCAGGAGUUAGUUGCUGUCAUUUGAUGGUAUGUAAUGUGGCACUUUUCUGCUAAUGCGUUGUAUACUGUUAUUUAUUUCUCUUUUGAUAUUGGAAGUGUUGGUUGUAGUAAGGAAAUAAUUCGUUUCAAUAGUAUACGACUUCGGUUUAAUAGUAUAUGACUCAGUUUUUGAAUAGCACUCAGGUGGUAUUACGACUUAGUUUUCUAAAUGCCAAUAACAGCUCUAGAUUUUGUCUCAAGUCAAGUAUUCUUACUAAUGUAGCAUUUUGUUGGCACAUCAGUAUGUUUUGAUUGUUUCUCUGCUUGAAUAGAGAAUUGUUAACGUCCGGGUGGGAACGUGGGUCAGCUCAUGUUUUAGUCUCUCCGUCGUAAGCAAUUUUACAUGGUACUCUUCAAUGUAGCUAUAGGUAAGACAACACUCUCAGUAUUCCAUAAUCAAACCACCAUUUGAACUUUUUUUCAUCCACCAAGUUAAGCUUUUAUGUGCCAUCUUGAAUAGUUAUAAGUUAUUGCUUCAGAUUACUCCAGUGCGACAUUGUUGUUCUCUUCCUUACCUCUCAAGCUUGCUUAAUAUACCAAUUCUUAUUACUGUUGUAUUGUUAAGAAAUACUCAAUUGCGGAUUCAGUUCAUCGUUUUGAAUCGGAUAAAAAUUAACCACUCAGUGGUUAAUUAUCUAAAUGGGCGGUAGGUCUCGGGUUCGAGACUUGUGAGCAGUCUCUCCAUAAAUGGGGGUAAGGCUAGCCGACAUUCACCUCUCCCAGACCCUGCGUAAAGCGGGAGCCUUGUGCACUGGGUACGACCUUUUUAGUGGUUAAUUAUCUAAAUCCUAUAAAUUCGGAUAAAAAUUAAAGCAACUACAGAACAAAAACCUCAAGAAAUCAACGCAAAUUUACCUGUAUUUGAUCAUUUUUGGGCAAAUCAACACAUCGCCGUCGCAAAACUCAGUUCCUUCGCAUCCUUCAAUUACUGUCAACGUCGUCUAUCAAAUACCAAGAAAAAAUGUGAGUAAUGGAGUCAACUCAGCUCAACACCAGAACUCAGUAGCUCCAGGAAAUAAGAAUGGUAAGAAAAAGCAAUCAGAAACGUCGACGAAUUGAGCUGGAAAAUGGACCUUAAUGGUGAAGUCGUUCUCGCGAGCUUUGAGAGCGGAUGCGAAGAACUUAGGGAGUGGAUCGGACUCAGGGCCUUCGAUGCGCCACGGCCAGGCCUCCAGGGUCUUGUAGCAAAGGAAAACGUGGUGAUAGCUCAACAGUGUAUCGUCGUCAGUGUCUUCAUCAGACUCAUAUGACUUGGUCUUAUAGUUGUCCCAAAUAGUAAGAGCAUCAGACAAAUCCCAUUUUACAAUAUCCACUCCUGUUUUGUUCAGCUUAAUUAUAUUAUCUCCUCCAUAAAAUCUUGCUUUUACAAGAACUAUGUCGCCACCUUUCAAAUUGAGCUUCUUGUUUGAAAGAUUUCCCAACCAAAGAUAAUAUUCAUGGGAAGCAGUUAUGGCGGCCUUAAUUGUCCAGAUGCUAAAAUGAGUUCGUUGGGUACGAUUAACAACAUCAAUGCAUAGAUCCCCAGUAGAGUUGGAGUUGUCUGAAGAAUAAAUGAUGCCCAAAGCCAACCCUCCUAUAUAAUCAAUACUUGGCGGCACUUCAAAUUUGACAGUUUUAUCCUCUCCCGCGACAUAGGCUAACCAGUUAGGAAUAUCAUUUCCAGAGAGAAAAAUUCCACCAAAUGCAUUUUUCUACAACAUGGGGUGCAAAGUCAGUAUAAGCAACAAUACAAAAAGCAGAGAGAGAGAGAGAGAGUACCAUACCGUUCGGAGGUUCUCCUUAAAAGUAUCAGUGAGACUGGUACACCCUUCCAUUUUAAUGUAAAUUAUCGAACCCAUGUAGUCCAACGAGUUCUUAAAUUUUGGAAUAUCUUGAGUUUGCGGCAGUCUUUCAGUAACAAUAUCCUCAUUUUCGACAUCUCUGAAAUGUCGGACAUUAUUUCCAGUGCAGUGCAGUAAUUCGCUUGCAGUAAAAGCAAACUGUUCGGCAAAUCUGGGAUUUCCUGAAGGUUUGUGCAAUGAUCGAGAAUUAAUACCAGAAGCUGAGAAAGGCCACUGAGAAUGGGUAGCCUAUUAAAACCAUUCCCACCUAGACCUAAAAAUGUUAAAGAAGAUAGACUCCCAAUUAUUUCGAGAACGGCACCAUCUGUUAUAUUGCAGUCACUGAGAUCUAAUACGUCAAUCAUCUUCAGUUGUGCUAAAAAAUGGUAACCCCCACACAAACCCUUACAGCCACUGAGCUCCAAUUUAUUGAGAUGUGGGAGUUUUGAAAAGUCUGGUAAUUCAGUCAGGUGAUGACAGUCGUUAAGAAGGAGAUACUUCAACUUCUUAGGCAACUGUUACUCAAAAAGAGAAAACAAUAAUAAAAAUUCAAAUAAAUAAAAGAGAGAAUGCAUGAUGAUGACUGAUGUUGAUAUUUACAAGGACAUUGAUAAUUAUAUCGUACCAGGUCCGAAUCCUCCCAAACUCGUACGAUCUUGCUGUUGCUCAGGUUUAAAUAAACUAGGUUUCGUUGAUCAAAAUCUGCUGGUAUGGCUUCAAGAGGAAAUCCAAUCCAAUCCAACGCUCUUAACUCCUUGGAAAGAUGUUUGUAGCUUCCAGUCAGCUUUACAUUAGCCAGGUCGAGAAAUUUCAGACGCCACAUCUUCUUAAACGCUUUCGUACUGAAGCUUUGCUCGUCAUCAGAAUGUUCUGGCAAAAAUAAGUGUAGUCCUUCAACUGCUUCUGUUCCCUGUUAGAGAUCCAAAAUAAAAAAGGAUAAUAUUCACACGAAGCAUAGCUGUGAAUUGGAUGAAUGAACUACUAGAAAGGUAGGGCAUACAACAUAAUUAUGUAUUCUCUCUUUCAAUUUACAAUGGAUGAAAGCCUUUUUUCUUAAAAUACACUAUGUACAACAUACAUUAUAUAUAUGCGGAUAUGCGUAUAUACUUCUCUUUAUUUACAUGUACUUAACAUAACAUCUUUUCAUUGCAAAAGUACUUACAGAUUCGUUCCUUAGCACGCUUUUUGCAUCUUCACUAUGCCACAAAUGACUACGUUUUCCCAAUUUCACAGGAGAUUCUGCCCGCACAAUUUCUCUUCCCAUAUCUCGAAUCAAAUCAUGCAUCCUCAAUCUUUUCCUUUCAUCAAUAUAUAGGAGACAUCGAUCGCAGAGUGUGGUAAUUUCUGCUUCUACAGAAAAACGACUACAACCAUCCAAUACUGGAGUGGCCACACUUAUAUGCACUCCAAUAAAGAAAUUAGAUAUGUCUAGGAACACACCCUUCUCAUGAUCAUCACGUAGUCCAUCGUAGCUUAAUUUAAGCGUUUCAUGAAUUUUUCCGUCUGGAAUAUUUCUCAAUUUAUCCAAUGUACUUUCCCAUAUGGUUUUACUCUUUUUCUUAGCCAACAAACGACCAACAACUUUCAGAGCUAGGGGCAAUCCUCCACAAUAAUCAACAAUAUCUCUUGCCAAUUCAAUAUAUUCUUUAUCGGGAUAAUCAUUUCCAAAGGCAUGCCAACUAAGGAGCUCAAAAGCUUCUUUCUCUGUCAUUGCUUGUGCCUUAUAUUUUUUAUCCACCUUUUGUAUAUUCAGCACAUGUUCAUCUCUUGUUGUUAUAAUAAUUCUACUCCCUGGACCAAACGAUUCAUGUUCUAUUGCCAAUUCAUCUAAUUGGUCUGCAUCAUCUAUGUCAUCAACCACGACAAGUACCUUCAUGCUUCCAAGUCUUUUCUUGAUCUCUUUGGUCCCUUCGGCAACACUGCUUACCUUAAUGUCAGGCUGUUUUAAAAUAUCUCGAAGAAGUUGUUCUUGCAAACUAACCAUCGCUUUCUUUUUACUCCUCACAUCUUCAAGGUAACAUUGACGACUAAAACUAUGCUGAUAAUUGCUACAAACGGCUCUGGCAAGCAUUGUUUUACCUAUACCGCCCAUACCACAAAUUCCAAUUAUUCGAACAUCAGGUGAACCUCCAACGUCUAAGUAUUUAGUACAAAAUUCUUGCAAGCGAAAAGCCAUUCCAACUAAGUGCUUGGCUUCUUUAAAGUCUGUGGUUUUCAGUAGUCCUUUGACGUCCCCAACAAUUUUCUCGAUAAACACCCCUUCACACCUACGAGUAGAAAUUCCAAAUUACGAGAGCCAUACUAAAUGCCUUAUUCAUAAUGACUAGAUAUUUACAUAUUGAAACAUAUUUGAAUAAACUGGAUUAAUUGAGCUCAAUUCAACCACGUAUCCAAUCUUUGAUUAUAAUGUGAAUACAUUAGAUCAUUGGUGAUUUGACUAUUAUGCAAUUGUAGCUUUCAGUAAUAUAAUUAAGAAUCCAUUACAAUUGGUAUUUUAAAUUGAUAAAGUGUGGAGCAUUUGUCCUUCACACACCCAUAAAAAACAAAGCACGUACCCUGCGCUUCACUUCCUUAAUUUCCACGGAAAUUAUUAUGCAAAUGCUCUACCUUUUAUAAAAUUCAUAUACCAAUUGUAAUAAAUUUUUAUGUAGGGACCAAAAUUACAGUUCUAUUAUAGUUCAGAGAUCAACGAUCCAAUUUUUCUUAUGACAUAUAAAAUCAGAUUCAAUGCCUUAAUUAUAAUAUCUUAAUUUUGGUUGAUUAGUGAAAUAUGGUGAUAUGAAAUUUGAAGUAAACAAAAAAGUAUACCCGUCGGCCGUGGUUUUGAGGUUCCAGCCGGCCAAAUCUGCAGAAGCCUUAAGAUCCUCUCUCCACUGCUUGACCUCAUUUGGAUCUUCAUCCUUUUCAUGCUUCUGAAAUGCUUCCCCAAAACUAUCUUUCUGUUUCCUGACUUGAGAAGGGUCAACGUCGUAGAAUAUUGGACACACUAUCUUCCCCUCUUGAUCUUUUAGGCACCUCAUGAUCUUCGACAGCUCCCUCAGGCACCACCGGGACUCCGCGUACCUCUUCGAGAAGACGAUGACAGCGAUCCUCGACCCUUCGAUUUCUUGGUCAAGUUCACUCUGUAUGUCUUCCCCCCUUCUGAGCUGUUUGUCUAUAAACGUGUUAAUUCCGGCAUUGCGUAACGCAAUGAAGAGGUGGUCUGUGAAGGUGUUGCGGGUAUCUUCGCCUCUAAAGCUCAGGAACACCUCGUACUUCCAGCGGUUUGAGCUCUGCGAGGAAGACGAAGAGGCGGCAGAGCCAGCUCCUUGGGCGGAGCUGCUGGUAUCCAUUGCAGACCGUAGAAGUGCAGCUUGGCUUUCAAAUAACCAAAGUCAAGUCUUUACCCAGUGUCGGUGGCCGUUUUAGAUAUUUUGCAUGGGCCAAUAAUGUCACUGCUGUGUCGAUAACGCGCUCCCACAGUUUAAUUUGUAUAAAUGCUUUACGAUGCAAUUUCCUUUCUUUUGUAGUCUUUUGAGAAUCUGCCGCCCAACUUUGACCGGUUGACGAUCUUAUUGUAUUAUAAGAUGUGCAUUUUGAUUAUCAUCAUUUAAUGUGAUGUAUGUUCAUCAAAUUAUUUAUUAUUAUUAGAUGAGUUUAAAUUUUAAGAUUUGUACUUAUGCACUACCCACCCGAAUCUCGAAAUUCAAACACAUUUAACGAUGAUAAAUAGAAUGAUAAACAUAUAUCAUACUAAAUAAUGGUGAGCAAAAAUGCUCCCGUAUUUUAAGGGUGGUGCGCAGCACGUUCCAACUGUUGGAGUCAGUAGUAUCAACGGGAAGAGACCUCAUCUCCAACAACCCAUCUUAACAAAAAAUGCAGAAAAUUAAACUCCAACAGGCUAACUAAAUGACUCUUUAUUUUGUGAACGGUAACUAACUAAAUUUAACCAGGAGACAUUCGUAGCUUACGUCAAAAGGAUCAAUGUUGUAAUAUAAGUAAUUUACUUGCUCAAAAUAAGGAUCAAUUUAGCUACGAAAGCAGGGAGAUGAUCGAGCUCACGAUAGCAGAUUUUUUUAUCCUAUCGUCUUGCAAGGGAAACAAGCUACCAAUUGCUUGCAUCAUCUGAAGCCAUCCAACUAAUGGUUGAAUUUCUCAGUCAAGACUAUGCUCAAGGCAUCAGUGUGCAGGCCAGACUCGACAGCAUAGCCACACUACACAACCUCUCGCGCUGCCAUCAGAUUAUUCCGUCUCUGGUCUCUUCGGGCGUAGUGUUUUCAAUGCUAAAACUGCGGCAUGGAAGCUGUUUCUUUUUGAGACUGUUCCAAUUAUGGUUCGAGAAACAAGCAGUCAAGGAAUAAGUUGAUGGGGUGAGUACAACGGCAUUGAGACUGUUCCAAUUAUGCAGGAAGUUGAUGCAGAAGGAGAAAAAGUUGACGGGGUAAGUACAACGGCAUUGAGACUGGUAGAGGAGAAGCUUGCAAAGAUCAGCAGUGGACGAUAAUCUCGACCAAACUCUGAGCUUUGCCAAGCAGAUUAAGAUGUUGGAACAGCCGUUCAUCUUGUUUAUUGAACAAACGAGGAGGACAACAAUGCAGAAUCAACGCUUGAAUUCAAAGUCCCAACAGGCAAAUCGAAAAUAAUCACAAGAGCUUAGAAAAUACCACACCAACAUUUGGCAAGCAGUCUCACAACAAAUCCCACUAUCAAGAUAAAACCAUUCAACGGUGUGUUGGAACAACAGAUUUCAGUUGUGUAAGCAAUCAACAUAAAGGAACAGUGAAUACUUUUGUAACUAUAUAUGGAUUAGCUUCGGGAAUUCAUCAAACCCUCCGAAAAAGAACGUAUAGUGUAGCUACCAUAUUCUCCUUUCAUAUAAGAGCUUAUUUAAUUGACGUUAUAACACCUUUCUACAAAGAAAAAAAAGAAGAAAAUAGGGCCUCUACACCCAUGGCAAAACCCGACAUGGAUUAGAGUACGUUUCAGCCUGACCUUCUGUAAAAGCUAUAGGCCACAGCCACUGUUGCCACAGCUCCAACCACGGCAGCAGCUGCGAGAACAUCGCUUUGCUCCCAGUUCCCGAUCAAGCUUGACAGCUUCCCUAAGGCAUCCUUCCUGGCACACGACUCUCUGGUUUCUUUCACCUUCUUUUCCUCACUUCCAUUGUUCUGCUCUAAACUUACUUCUUUGCAGCAUGUAAAUCCAUUACUAUUAGCACCCUGGCAACAGCCUGAAAAGUUCUCAUUAUUCUGAAUCUGAUUGCCGUUUUCUUAGGGCUUCUCCUCCAUUUUCUUACUUUCUCCUCCAUUUGGAAGCUUCUGGUCAUUAAUUUUUUCAGCUUCAUCCGAAGAUGCUCCCAUUUGGCCCCUGUAAGGAAUGAAAUUGAAUUUCGAGUUCAGCCAUUUAAAGAUUCAACUCUAUGUUUCAUCAAUAGCAAUCGAGUAAGGACAUGUAUGAUCAAGCUUAAUAAACAAUUUGACAACAGUACCUACUUGACCCCGUCCCCCCUUCCCCAAAACCACCUUUGGUUUGGUUCUAUAAAAAAAAAAAAAUUGUUUGAUUUGGUUCACACGAGUUGUUUGAUUUGGUUCCUCAAUGUUAAUGUAACUCCAUAUCAAUAAUCUAUCUUCCAACACUAUAAGUAAUCAGCAAUAGGAAAAUAUGACAACAGAAGCUUCAGUUCCAGUGAACUUUUCAUCAGCAGACGGUUGGCAAAACCGAAAACACACAAUCCUCCAAAGUCGUUCUAUGAUCUCUCCCUUCCCAAUAUGCUGAUCAAGCAAUUCCGGCACAUCCUUAGGAGUGACGUAGCCAUACCUGCAAUUAUUAAUACCAUAAUAUUCAAAUUCCUUCAUCUAUCCCAAUACAAUAAAUUUUACAUUGUUAUGAUCCGGAUAUUACCAAUGGCCUGUUAUGCUUCCAUCUGAACCUGGGCUGUAGACAAUCAAGUUUCCAGCACACUUGUGGUCUCCAAUGUGAGAGCAAGCAGUAACAAAUACCUGAUUUGUCAAUCCUCGCAGCUCAGCCUCCUCUUUGAACUUAUCAAUGAGAAUAGGUCCACAAACUCCACAUUUUUAUCUCGACUUCCAUGUAGACCUGUAAACGGGUUAGGUUUAUUGGGUUUGGGUCGGGUUGAACCCGACCCGUUAAGUUAACGGGUCACCCGAACCCGACCCGUUAAGCUAACGGGUCACCCGAACCCGACCCGUUAAGCUAACGGGUCACCCGUUUCACCCGUUAACACCCGUUAACAAUUAUUAUUAUUUUUUUUUUGCAUAAAGUUUAUUUUUUGUUAUUAAAACUUUACUAAAAUUACUAAAAUAUCCUCAACUAACGGGUGCUAACGGGUGUUAACGGGUCUAACGGGUUGACCCAAAGUGACCCGUUAUUUAACGGGUGUUAACGGGUUCACCCGUUAGCGACCCGACCCGUUAAGCAUCCACCCAAAUACAAAUAUUAACGGGUUGGGUCGGGUUAACGGGUUGGGUCCAAAAUGCCAGGCCUACUUCCAUGUGCACAUACAAAUACAUGGGAGCCAGUCAACGCCUCUUGCACUACGGAAGCCCAUGGUUUGUCGUUCACAAGGACAUCAAUUGGUUAGAAACCAAGCCAUGUUACCGGCACACAGCCUCAGAGUAAACAAGGAAAAUUUCAAGGUAUCAACACUAAAACUAGUCCAAAACACACUAAAUUAGCUCAAUUCGAGACUUCGUAAAUUGAAAUGGGAAAAUCAUAAACUCUAUCUCUAGUUAGCAAUCAUCGAAAUCUCCUAGUCAAAUAAAGCAAAUCUGAAGAAUCAAAACACCACUCACUGGUUAAUUAUCUAAAUCCUAUAAAUUUCGGUUAAAAUUAAGCAACUACAGAACAAAAACAUCUUUACCUGUAUUUGAUCAUUUGUGGGAAAAUCAACACUUCGCCGUCGGAAAACUCAGUUCCUUCGCGUCCUUUAAUUACUGUCGGGUCUAUCAAAAACCAAGAAAAAAGUGAGUAAUGGAGUCAACUCAGCUCAACACCAGAACUCAGUAGCUCCAGUAAAUAAGAAACGGCAAGAAAAGCGAAACGCCGACGAGUUGAACUGCAAAACGGACCUUAACGGCGAUGUCGUUCUUGCGAGCUUUGAGAGCGGAGGCGAAGAACUUAGGGAGCAGAACGGACUCAGAGCCUUCGACGCACGACGGCCAGGCCUCGGGGGUCUUGUAGCAGAGUAAGACGUGGCGGUCGUACGCGUUGACAGUGCCAGCAAGUUUUUCCUUGCACAUCUCCAAUCUCUUGAAACCGAACCUCUCGUCUUCGGUGGCUGGAACGGCGACGUCGAGGUCAUCGGAGACCAUUGCUAGGGCUCGGAGAGGAGGGAGGGGUUUACCAGGGGUUGAAGUUGAAAACGAUGAGAGGGAAAAGAUGAGAGAGAAAGAGCGUUGUUGUUUGGUUGUUGUGUUGAUAUAACGAGGAGGCUGAGAAGGGAACCGCGGUGUCGGUGUGGGUGUAGGUGCGUGCGCAACACAUACGGCGCACGAUGGGGUUUCUGAAGAUCGGAGUCGGGACGCGUGGGAUUGGGCACGUGGGGUUUGAUUUGUAGUUCAUGUAUAUACCUCUUUUUUGAGAAUAAAGAUUUUUUUUGGAUCCUCUUUGUAGGGAUUUUAUAGUUUGUGUAUCGUAUUCAUUCAUUGUAAAUCAGACGGUUAGAAAUUACUUUAAAUCUAUAAAUUUAAAAUUAAACACAAAUAAUAUUUAAAGAAAAUUGACUGCAUAAUUAAUACGAUAAACGAACACAAUUAAAAAAUUCUCAGAAUCCUCGUAAAAAGAAUCCGAACUCUUUUGAUGUCUCCGAUCAUAUCGGACGGAAGCUAAAAGAUAAUUCGUGCACGCAAAAAUGGAAGGUCCUACAAACGGAGGAGGACCACUCUCUAUUCCCGGGAAGUGGGGUACAAGCGCGUAUGUAUAUAUCACCCAAUGGGGCACCAAUAUGUUGUACUAGCAGGGAACUGAAUGAGGUGAAAUUGGAAAAUCCCUUAAACUUGGUGAUGUGGCGACCUGUGAUUCGGCCUUCACAUUCUGUCAAGAAACAGGCCGGUCACUUUGUUGAUUAAGUCAAGCAGUCAGCCUUAGCCCGACGUGGACAAGUUCUGGAAGUCUUGUUUCGCUCAUUUAUUUAUUUCUUGUCAAUGACGUGUAAUAUUUGAUUUCAUUUGUUUUUUUGGUGGACUAAUAUUAAAUAUACUUUUGUCAAUGAAUUAAUGAUACAAUUUAGAACGGUGAUAUUCACACAUUUUGCACAUAUUCUUCAAUUUGAUAGUUGAAAAUUGAGAAGAAUGUGUGUGAAAUGUAAAAAGAACGUGUAAAUAGCAUAUCCCUACAAUUUAAUAUAAAGGAAUGUAGAUUUCAAACAACGAUUGUUUUUUAAGGUAACGCUUUUGUUCUUGAUUUUUCAUGUUUGAGCUUGAAAUGAACCGCUUUCAUAAUCUAUUGUAUUACUUUGUGUUCAGUUGAAUAAAGUAUCUUUUUCCAACGAAAAAUAAACGGAAUGGCAUUUAAAUAAGGAGUGUAGAGAGUGUAUGCGUAAGGAAAGAGGCAUGCAAAAUUCAUUUCAGCUCAUACAUCUUUGUGUUGCUUAUGUUGGUCUUUCAAUUAAUUAUGUUGAGAGUGAGGAAAUAAAUUGUACUUAGCAGUGUCAAAUUACAACCCUAAUCGAAAAACGUCUUGUUCGCCGGACCUACUCGACUGCUCCGAACAAUGUAAGGCCGAAAGGCGGACGAUACAUAAUCGGGUUUUUUCGAAGUAGGCAUUCAUAAACAUCAAGGAAGCAUACUUGGUAGAAAAUGAAAGAUCCUCAACUUCAUUCCUCAAAUUUUCAAUGCAAUUGAAUUUCCUCAAAUCUAAGGAACUACCAGAUUGUAAUGCUUGCAAUGGAAGGGAACCAUUGUGUACAUGUAGCAUCCACAUGAAUCAGUUGGAGGCUUGUUGGAGUUUUUAACGGAAUGACCAAAAUGAUGGAUGGUAGACAAUCUCAAGGACCACUUUUGAUUAUUUACCCUUCUAUUGAAUUUGCAAAGGGGAAGAAGUUUUAAAUCCAUUACAAAAGAGAUAAUUGCAGCAUGAUUGAUAACAUGCUCAUCACGUGAUUGGGUUCCUAAAAUUCCCAGGUUGUUGCAGGCUUCCUCGUCCUUGUAGAAUAUUUUGUUCAACAAUUCCAGAGAAAAACAAUUAUUCGAUUCGUUUCAGGUAACAGAUGAGUAGCUUAAUUCAAAACUUGUUUUCGUUCUAGAAGUUUAGAUUAUACAAGUGAAUGGUCAAUAUGAUAUACUCGAUAAAAUUACAUGUCUCCUUUUAAAUUUAAAGUUCAUUAUUUUGAAGUGAUUUUUGGAAUUUAAUUUUUCAAUUUAUUUGAUUGAGAGGUGAGGAAUUGGAGAUAAUUAAUUAUGUUUGGGGGUUAACUGGUAUCCUCUAGAAUAUGUUUUUUUUUUUAAUGAGGAAUCCUCUAGAAAAUGUUUAACUUUAUUUUAAAUUUUCAUGUGGUUUUGGCUUCAAUGAGGCAAUGGCAUAUGUGUAAAUAAACAAAAGUUUAAUUCUAACCUAAGGGGGCUGACGGAAGUCAGGGGCAUGGAUGGAAAAGGAGUUUCUUACUUUGCACGUGGGGCUUUAUUGUUUGGGUUAUUCCUCCUAGCUUUUGUCAUUUUCAUUAAAAUUUAAAUCUUUUUAUUAAGUAAAAUUAUUAAAUAGUUUUUUUAUUAAGAAAUUGUUAUUAGGAUUCUAAAAAUCUCAUUUAGCAUUCUAAAUUUUUUAUAAUUAGAAAAAAAAAUACACUUAUAAGAAGUGUAAAUGAGAUUUUUGAAAUGCUAAUAACAAUUCGAUUUUAUUAAUAAAAAGUUUGAAGAAGGCCUUUUCAUUAAAAUUCCCCCAAAAAAAAAGGAGUAUGCUUCUUCCUAAAACGCUUCUUUAGGCCAUAUAAACAAACAGUGAGACGUAAAAACAUGCCCCAACCUCAAAUAUUUCUCUCACAAACAAGGAGAGAAUUUUCAGUGUGACCGGUACACAAGGUGGUACACCACGUAUCACUAAACAAAUAAUAGGAUAUGUGUGCUAAAAAGUUAAUAACUUAAAAAAUAAAAUUUCCCACUAUUCUUAUUAAAACACGUGAUGUAUCACUUAUAUUCCCGUCACAACUAAAAAUUUCCCUACAAACAGAGAGACGUAAAAACAUGCUGCCAUGGGCUUCAGAGAGGAAAAAAGAUCAGGAAAAAAAAUGACCUGAUUGGGUAAGACUUGUACACAAGUUUGUAGUAAAUGUCUACGUACCUUCCUUACAAGUCUGUCUCUUUACUGUGCUUUCCUUCAAUUCACUGUUGUUUCUUCAUCGUCAAAGCUUUCAAUAUUAAGAUCAAACCUUAAUGUUUUGCAGACCUCAUCAGAUGAGUGAUCUCUUAACUCUGUACCAUUGUGGGUGUCGUCAUCAAACUCAUAUGGUAUAGUCUAAUAGUCUGCCUCAUCAGUAUCAUCAUCUCACUCUAAUGGUACACGCUCAUAGUUCACAUUUUUUAUUUCUGAAGGUAAACAAUGUUCCCAUCCUACAAAAUUCACUCCUGUUUUCUUCACCUUACGAACCUUGUCCCCCCUUUUCAGAUUGAGCUUCCUGUUUGAAAGACUUCCCAGCCAAAGAUAAUCUUCAUGGGAAUCAGUUAUGGUGGCAUCCAUUCACCAGAUGGAAAAAUAAGUUCUCUGGGUAACCACAUCGAGGCAUAGAGACCCACUACACUGGGAUGGUCCGAAGAAUAAACGAUGCACACAGCCAACCCUCCUAUAUAAUCAAAACUUGGCGGCACUUCAAAUUUGACAUUUUCUUCCUCUCUCACGACAUAGGUUAACGAUUAAGGAAUAACAUUUCAAGAGCGACAAAUUUCACCAAAUACAUCCCCCACCUUCCAUUUCUACAACACGGCGUGCAAAGUUUGUAUAAGCAAACAAUACGAGAAGGGCAGAGCGAGAGAGAGAGAGAGAGAGAGAGAGAGAGAGAGAGAGAGAGAGAGAGAGAGUAUCAUGCAACAAAACAUAAAAACUCAUCUGGGAGAAUUAUGACUCUUGUGAAUUGGUAGUAUUAUCGAUGCAUAUGUUAUAUGAUCUUCAAACUCGCUAUAGCGUGACUUUUUUUUUUUGUAUCUUUUUCAUCAACUUCAUUUGUUUUUUUUUUUUUUCAAGUAGAGCUGAUAAACUUAAAAUUUAUCCACAACCUAAAAAAUGGAAGAAAAAAAAAGAGGUGGAUGUACAAAAUCCUUGCUAUGCCCUCUAUAUUCAACAGAACAAUAAAUUGAGUUAACGGAUAUAAUUGAAGUACCAUAUUUGAUUGUGUUUGAGAACCAUAAUAAGGAAAAAAAAAAACUACUCUAGAAUGAAGGUAAAACUCGUGACAACAAUGGUGUACAUCUAAAAAAUAGUUCAAGCAGAUUAAGAUGUUAGCGCAUAGACAAAUAUCUCGUUUAUUGAACAAACGAUGAGGAUAACAAUGCCGUUUUCUCUCUUUCGAAAUUCAUAAACAACAAAAUUGAGAUUUGUUACACAAAAAUUACCAUAAAUUUUGACAGAAUUGGCGGUUGAAAUAUAAGUCCAGCAUCCAAAUCGAAAACAAUCAUAGGAGCUUAGAAAAUACCACAUCAACCUUUAGCAAGUAGUCUCAUAAGAAAUCCCAAUCAAGAUAAAACCAUUCAACAGUUUAUUAGACUUCUCCUUUCAUAUAAGAGCAUGGUUCGGAGGAUAAUUUAAUUGACCUCAUAACAUCUUUCUACAAAGAAAAAAUGAAAAAGAAAAUAGGGCCUCGACACCUGUGGCAAAACCCGACAUGGAUUAGAGUACUUUUCUGCCU
rnacentral:lncRNA from 1 species